rnacentral:lncRNA from 1 species
UUUUUUUUUUUUUUUUUUUUUUUUUUUUUUUUUUUUUUUUGGGUUUGAGAAACAACAUGGUUGAGGGUUUGCCAUUUAUUUUUAAUGUUAAAGUUUGGGGCUUUACUCUUUUAUUGUAGUUUGGUGUUUAAAACUAACUAAAAGUGUAUUAAGGCAUAUAGUGUUUGAAGAAACAAAAAAUGAAAGUUAUAAAAUACUUUUCUAGUGCUUUCUAGAGGAAGUAUAUGUUGAAUACGUUUCGAUGAAGAACUAAGAAUUUUAAUGAUGAUUGUGUUGCAUCUCAUAAAACUAUUUUCAACAAAAACAUUUAUGAAAGAGUCAUUCUUCUGUACAACCACUCCUUUAUUGUCAUUCCUAAUAUUUCACAAAGUACUCUUAAUUUCCUUUUUAUGAAUGAAGCUGAAGGAGGUAACUUUUAAACUUGAGAUAUUUCUUAACAUUGGGAAGAAAAAUACUAUUUUGCUACAACUGUUACGUGGUUACGUGUCGUGAGUGAGGUGCGUCUUUGUUCUGUGUUUGUUUCUGAAACCAUCAUAAAAGUAAAAAAAAAAAAAAAAAAAAAAAAAAAAAGACACAUUAGGGCCCACAAUUUGGACUAGUCAAAACAUUGGGCAAAAUGCACAUUUGUCUUGGGCAGGCAUCUGAGGGCUUCUAGUGUCACUUCUUGAUCCCGAGAUACGUCUAGAAUCAAAGGAAUACAAAUUAGCAAUAAAGGGUAUAAAACUCCAGUGCCAUAGUCCACAUCGCUACACUAAUUGAAAUCAUUUUCUCUAGCCAUUAAAUGUACUCUGCAAGAUGAAGUAGUUAGGCUUUCACCAUAAAACUAAUUGGUAAUAUGGAAAGUAACUCAAUUUCUUAUAAGCCCUUGCAAGGUUGUCUUUUUACCGAUAUGAGACUCUUUUACCUUCACAUCUUUACACACACCUCACAUGUGGCGAAUUCAAGCCAAACACACAUAUAACACAAUUAGGGUGACAUGAAGCACGUGUGACCGUCAGACUUCACAUAUGGGCCAACUUGCGCUGAUGCCACGAAAAAGUUGGGGUUCCACCAUAAAAUCAAUUGCAAUAUGGGGAGUAGCCUAACAUCUUAUAAGCCCUUACAAGGUUUUUCCUUUACUGUUAUAGGACUUUUUACCUUCACAUCCUUAGACAAGAAACAACCCCAAACCGUGAGAUUAGUUCACCAAGCAAAUAAAAACCCAAAUAAGCUGGAAGCUCGUACUUUUGUCACCGUCUGGAGUCUAAUCAUUUAGCAUUUAGUUGGGUUAGAGAUGAUCUAACAAAACACGUCCAAAUACUUUUAAGUAAUACUUUAACAUGCUUAUAAAAAAAAAAAACUAAUUGCAUGCAAAAUGAACAGACGUGCUUUUUAUAACCAUCACAAACUUUCAUGGUCGUCAUCACUUAAGGUUAACAACACAUCUUUAAGUAUUUUUACUUGCUUUCCAAUCAACAGGAAAGAAAUAUUCAAAAUUGAGAUAUCUUUCAAUGUCACGAAGAAAACUAGAAUUUUGACCAAUAGCUGGGUAUUAUUAUUUUAGGUAUAGAAUUAAAGGAAAAGAGGACUAAGUUUAGAGAGUGACCAUGCAUAAAAUUAUGAAACCACUCCAUUUAUUUGAGGUUGUCCCCAAAUCUAAAUAUCUAGCUAGCUGCUGGCUUCCCUUUUCCAAAAAAUCAAAUCCGUACAACGAUAUUUGCGGUAAGAAUAAAUGCAGAAAUUAAAAAUUUCAGACCAAAAGUGUGUAUUAUCAUGCAAUGCGGGCGGAAAAUCAGGCAGGUAGUGUCAAAUGGGAGCCAAGUUGAGCAACAACCCGACACCAAGAGUGAUGAUGCAGAAUAUUGAGUUAGAUUUCCUCUGUGGGUCUCCACACUGGAUUCGAAUACAUUUGGAUUUUGGAGGACAUUGAGAUCUCACAUGAGCUUUAAUGCAUGGAUGGAUGAUAUUUAUUGUAAUAUCAUUCAACUCAUUUGUGAGAGCAAUUUGUAUGACAUGAGUACACUGUUACAUUGACGUUUCAUGCUAAUUAUACAAAGACAUGUGAUGAGAAUUGACAUAUAUUUUUGUAUUGUUGGUAUGAAACGUCACCGUAGCAGCGUGCUUAUACUAUACAAGUCCUUCUCCACUCCAACCAGGCACUUCUUUUGAGUUUCUUUUUUGCACUUUCAAUCUUGCUUUUGUUCUCUUUAUCCAAAUGUCUUUUCCUUUUUCUUGCUGGUUUCUUUUUGUUUAUCCAAAUUUUAUUCCUUUUUUCAUGUCCUCAAAAUGUGUUAUGCCAUAUCUCAUCUAACCAUUGUGAAUUUUUCAGCUAGUAGAAACAAAGAUGUGCACAGAACAAUGUGAGGUUAAAAGGAAUACUGGUUUGUUUUUUACGAUUAAGUUGUUAUUCUUUCUUACCUAUAAAUGACAUAUUUGAUGAAAUGACUUUUUACAAACAUAUAGAGAGUAGGGUUUUUAUCACAAAUGGUUCUUGAAAUUGACUCAUCUCAUCAAAAUGAUCAUUGAAAUUGAAAAUCAAUCAAUGUAAUCCUUGAAAAUUGGUGUCGCAAAUCAAUGUGAUCAUUCCAUUACAAUUCCGUAAAAAAUUAUGUUAUGUGCUGAUGUGGCACGUAACUGAGUUCCACAAAUAUAAUUCAAUAUUGCUAUGUGGACUUAAAAUAUUUAAAUAAUUAAAAACUUAAAAAAAAGGAAAAAAAAAAGAAGAUGACUGUUCAUCAUCUUCUUCUUCUCAUGAGUAAUCACAGGAGCAGACUUGUCGUUUGCGCCUCUGCGAGAACGGCCUUCGAGGUCGACCAAGCUCCAACUUCCGCCACUUCGUCCAAUCUUUUGCCUUUUAGGGUUGGGUACGGGUUCGACCGGCACAGGUUGGAGCCCAGGUACCCUCUGAUCAUCGACGACAUCGACUUACUUAUGACAGAGGUUGGGAUGCGCAUUCCGACGGUAAUUCCUCCAUUAAUUUGCUUUUUCUUCCCGUAAUUUCACAAUUUCUAAUUUAUUUUAUUACAUUUUCGAUUUAAUGUUUGAAUUUUGUAUUUGAAUUUUGGGGAUGUGUUGCUUCAUUGUGUGGUGGGUGCAAUAUUAGGGGCUUUGGGCUUCUGGAUAUCAUGCAUAUAGUUCCUGAUUCGGAGCUAAAGUGGAGGGGUGCAGCUUCCUGGGGUGGGAGAAGAAGAUGACUGUUUUUUUUUUUUUUUUUUGUUUUUGUUUUUGUUUUUUUAAUUAUCCAAAAAUAAAAAUUGUUUUUUUUAUUAUUAUUUUAAAGUAUUUCUAAUCCACAUGACAAUAUUAAUUAGUCUUGUGGGAUCUAUUUAUGUGCUACAUCAGCAUAUAACAUAAUUUUUUAUGGAAUUGUGACGAAAAGAUCACAUUGAUUUUCGACACGUAUUUUCAGGAUUACAUUGAUCGAUUUUCAAUUUUAGGAACCAUCUUGAUGAGUUGAGUCAAUUUAAAAAACUGUUUGUGAUAAAAACCCUAGAAAGUAUAUAUGUACACGUGUUAUAAUGUAAUUUAUCUCACAGAAGAAGCUGAAUUUUUUGCGGCCAAAAUGAGUUUAAAACCAAAAUUUGAGUGGAUCUACAAUAUGAAUCCUCUUCCAUUGUACACGUUCUCAAAAUGAUUUUGAAAAUUAUCGAUACUCUGCCCUUGGGCUUGGGUUAAAGUUUGAAGGCCUGUCUAGUUGGAAUAUUAAUGGGCUAAACUGGUGGUCCAUUUCCUUUGAAACCAUACCCAAACCUUAUUCAGUGAUGAACAGCAUUUGUCCAUUCUCAAGGGUCAAGUCUCUGCCUUUUCACAUUGUUAAUCUAAGAGUUGUUAAGGUUUUUCAUAGUAGUUUAUGUGAAUUUGAUCACAAUAUAUGAAAAUCAGAUCGUAUGCGUUUGAUUCCUAUAACAUUGUUUUUGUCAUGUGAAAGUUUAGUAAUUCUAAAAGCUAUAUAUUCUACAAGAAUUAAACUCAAAAUUUUUUACUUGCUGAGAAAGGCCUAAGCAUUAUAAAGGUUAAAUUGGAUUAAUGGUCCCUGUGGUGGUAGGUUAAUCCGAUGAUAACCCCGUGGUAAAAAAAUUUGGAUUUAAGCCCUCAUGGUGAAGCUUCAGUAGGAUUCAAACCCAAAAUUAACAUUGACAUCAACUUCCAUUAACAUUUCCACCUUGAUUCUUUGGUUCUGCCUCUCCCCACCUGGUUCUUUGCAUCCCAUCUCUCUCUCUCUCUCUCUCUCAUUUUCUCUCCAGACUUUCAACCUGGAGCAAACCAAUGGAUAUUUAUCUGCAUCCCAGCACCCAAAUCAUAGAGUCAUAGCUAUAGUUAUGGAACAUAUGAGUUAAUUAACUAAUCAUUUUCAGCUCCAAAAUAAAAGAAAUCAAGAAAUCGGAGUCGUGAGGGCAUAGAACAGAAGACAAAGAAACUAAUCGUAGCGAAGUUGCCAAGGCAGCGAUAUACAACAAGAUUACAGAUUUAUCCAUAGAUGACGAACAACAAUAACCAGUCGAAGCGACGAACACGAGAAAGGAGGGGAAAAGAAGAGUAAGAGAAGAGAAUACAUAGGUGAGAGAAGGGUAAAAUUGAAAAAAAUGAAAACCAAGAAAAGGGCAUGAGUAUUUAUGGUUGGAUUUAUCCAAUAUAAAUCAACCUUUAAGUGGUCUACUACAUGUAAUAGAAAUGUAAUAUUGGAGAAAUAAUGUUGAUUGUGAUUUGAUCUCUUAAAGAUAUUAAUCCUAUAUCAUGUGUCUUAUAUUGGAAAUAGGAUUGAUGGAAUCCUUAAUUGACUAUAAUUAUGAUUAGGGGUGGGUUCAAAAAACCGAAAACCGAAAAAAACCGAAAACCAAACCGAACCGAGGCCGAAAAAAACCGAACCGAAAAAACACUGAACCGAAACUGUCAAACCGAACCGAACCGAAUCUAACUGGUUCGGUUUCGGUUUUUGAGGUUCGGAAACCGAACCAAACCGAACCGAACCGAUAUAUAUAUUUAAUUUUUUUUUAAAUAUUAUAAAUAGUUUAGUCAUGCAAUCAUAACAAAACAUACCUUGUUGCUAAGUUGGUUUCGGUGAACCUUUUCAAGCCCCAAGGCACGGGUUCGAUCCUCCAGGAUGUCUGAGAUGUUUUUUUAUUUUUUGGAGAACUUAACAAAACCCUUUAACCCUUUAACCCUAGCAACCAUACCCAUACCUUUUAUUUUUUUUCAUUCCCUUCCUCUCUCUCGUUCCCAGCCUCCUCUCCUCCAGUGUAACCCCAACCCAGCGCAGCCGAGCCUCCUCUCUCUCGCCGAGCCUCCUCUCCUCCAGAUGUCCGAUCGAUGCCGGUGCGCAAGGACGACGAGGUCCACAUCGAGCGGAUCACCCGAGAGAAGGUGAACGGGUCCACCGUCAAUGUCGGCAUCAACCCCUCCAAGGUCGUCAUCACCAAGCUCCGCCUCGACAAGGACCGCAAGUCUCUGCUGGACCGCAAGGCCAAGGGCCGCGCCGUCGCUGACAAGGACAAAGGCACCAAGUUCACCGCAGAGGAUAUCAUGCAAAACGUCGAUUGAUUUCGAUCGAUUUCAUUUGGGUUCGUGUUUUUGUUAUUGAAAUGAAAUUAGCGACUGUCAAGUUAAGCACUUUAGUUUUGAUUAUGCUUUAAUGGAUUUGGCGUUUAAUCUAAUCUUCGAUUUGAGAAAAAAAAAAAAUUUGGUUCUGCACUGUGAUGCUUGCUUGUUCUGCACUCUCGCCAUGUCUGCACUGGUGAUUAAAUUCUGGAUGAAGCAUUUACAUUUUUCGGGAUGCUGGAUGAAGCAAUGAAGUAGCUGUUAAUUGUUCUUUACAACCCAAUGCCAAAAAGUACAGCAGUAUGCAAACAUAAGUUCAUAACAGAAGGUGGAGUUUAGAAGUACUGAAUCAUAUCACUUGUCUCAGAUGUUUGUUUAGGUUACUGGACCUGUUUUUUUCUGUUUGUUUCUCGGGAAAAUUUGCAGGCCCACCUGGUUUCAUUUCUCUGGUUGUUGGAUUUGCAAGGUAAAGUUUUCUGGGUUUUUACUUUGUUGCUCCAAAAGGGUCUUAGAAAGUCUAAUUCUUUGAAACAUUUAUGUGGGUUUUGUUCAGUUGGUGGGUUGUAAAUCUCUUAUGGAUAACAUCUAAAUUUUCAUUUUUUGGAGGAAAAAAAAAAAAAACCGAAAAAAAACCGAAACCGAACCGAAAAAACCGAACCGAAAAAAAAACCGAACCGAAAAAAACCGAAAAAAAUAUGGGCCGAACCGAACCGAACCGAAAUUUCGGUUUGGUUUCGGUUUUGGCAAAAAACCGAACCGAAAAGAACCGAACCCAGCCCUAAUUAUGAUACUUAACUUAGAGGCUAAGAAAGUAAGUUUAGGUUUCCUAUAUGGAUGGAAACCCUAUCUUUUAGCCUAUAUAUAUAAACACCGGUCCCUAUAAGCCCUAGAAACACAAUACAAUGCUUCCCAUAUAGUAGUUGUAUUCGGCUAGGAGUUUAUAGAAGAUCUUGGUGUUGCCAUGCUCUGCUACUUUUGGUUUCAACUUCCAUGGCCAUCAUUGAAAUCAGGUCAGUUACUCAUUCAUUUGUGUUUUAAUUGUAUAACCUAAUAAGGCUAACAGUUGGUAUCAGAGCCUCUGGUUAUAUAAUUAAAACCUAUUAAGUUCGACAAUACAUAGAGUUGUUUUACAAAAUACAUAAACUGAAUUUUGGUCUUAAAUUCAAGUGUGAUUCCAUAUCCUUGGCGUACUAAUAUGAUAUGUUCAGCUAUAUUCUAUGAUCAGUUCCUUUUGAUCCUAAAUUCAAGUGUUAGUUAAAUAUUAAAAAAAUCACAGAUAGAGGUCGGUUAAAGAGCACAGGCCGACGGGGCUUACGAUUGUGUUGUUCAUGGUAUCAAGAUUAUUUCUCACUAAUUAAUCUUAUGGCACGAAUUUGAAUUUUUUUUAUCAGAAAUAGCUAUAAACCGUGUUUCAAUCCUAUAAUCAUAUUGAAAUUUGGAGAAGCAUAUAUAUAUAUAUAUAUAUAUAUAUAUAUAUAUAUAUAUAUAUAUAUAUAUAUAUACAUUUGUAUAUCGUGCUAAUAUGUAAAUAUUUUGCAGUGGGAUCCAACACAUGGAUUGAAGUAUAAAAUUUAUAUGGUGAUGAUUGCUUCGAAUUCCAACAGUUUUCCAGAUUAUACCUAUUAUAAUUACAUAUAAUAUAUGGUCAGAUUGAUGGCAUUUUUAUGCAGGCCCUUUUGCAUAUAAUUUGUUUUAGUUGAACUACCAAAGUCUGGAAGUUGCUAGUAAUUUGAUCAAGCAAGCACAUGUAAUUUUUAAAAGCCAAUAUAUAUGAUUAGUCAAAUUUGAUUACCACCAAUAGUUCUAAUAAGGGAAUGAUAAAGAAAAUUUGAUUAGUCAAUUCAUUGGAUUAACUAGGAUUGAAAAGCAUGGAAUAUUUCAGAGUUUUUAUUUCAAUUUUAAUGCUAAUAUUUUGGUUGACCAUAUACUGCUUAUGCAUAAGUUGAAGCCAUGAGGUUGGGGUUCCUCUUUACACAGCCAGCGGCUGCGGCCUAUCGCGGCACCGCCUCAAGGGUUUCAAGGCGGGCUCUAUUAUGUUGGAUUCAUGAAAUGUUAUAUUGUUCUCGCAAAAUCCAACCAUGUCAUGACAUCUUUCUGAUUGUAGGAGACGGAAUGUCAUAUCUAGGGAUGGGCAACGGUUAUGGUGGGCGGGUAACCACGGUUAUUUAUCAAUAACCGUUUAUUCUCAAACCCGCAUAACCGUUUACCCGUUGGGUAAUUGUCUAAACGGUUAUACCCAUACCCAUAGCCGUUUAUAAACGGUUAAUCAUACUUAUAACCGUGUACCCAUUUAACCGUAACCAUUUAGUACCCGUUUACCCAUUUAUCAUUUUUAAACCCGUUUAUCCUUUCUUUUUUACCAUUUACUCAUUUUUCACCCGUCUACGUGUUUUUUAACAACUUGAAAAUUAAAAAAAAAAAAUUUGUCAUAAUUUUGUUUAUCUAACAAUUAAACACCGUUAUAGGUACAUUCAUCAUACAUUUCUGCAUUUUAAUUUUUUAAGUCCAUAUACCAUUCAAAUAAUUGAAAUAAUAGAUUACAGACGAUAUUUUUAACUGUUAGCAAUGAAGGUAAUAUAAAAUUUGCUAAGUAUUCUUGGGUUACGAAAACUGUUAAAGACAAUAUUCUUGGGUUAUUUGACUCGGAAUGUAAAGUAUUAACAUAAUAUAUAUAAUGGACCAUGAAAUUUAAAGUGGUUAGGAAAAACUAUAUUAUAUUAGCUAUAGAAAUCAUGCACUAUAGUCAAUAGCAUUGAUUUAAGUUUUGUCCGAUAGGGAACAUGGUUUGUGUUAAUUUUACAUAUAUAAAAUAAAUGGGUAAAUGGUUACCCGUUUAUAACCGCGGUUAAUACCCAUAACCGCCCAUUUAAAUUUCGCGGGUAAAUGGUUAUACUCAUAACCGUUUAUUUAUCUAAACGGUUACCCAUAAUCGUAACAGUGAAAUUUAUAUGGGUGGGUAACCGCCGUUACCCAUAACCGAUGGGUAUUUGUCCAUCCCUAGUCAUAUCCUAUAAUUUAUCAAUACUAUUGGGAUAUGUUGUGCCUACCUAUGAUUGUGAGAACAUAUGUUAAAGUUGUGUUGCAGGAAUGCAUGCAUAUGCUAAGUUUAUAUAUGUCUAUAUUUGAAAGCAGGUCAAUAUAAAUUUUGGCAACUUUUGUUAUUGCAUCUAGAGCAUCACGGAUAUGGCUGUUUGUUUCAAGGAUGUGUAAGGUGACACAAUUUCUUCUAAUUUUUCCGUGAACAUGGCAUAUGAUAAAUUGUAACUAAUUUGCUUGAACCAAUUUUUCAUGAGAUGUGGAUAAAAUUGUAUGCCAUUAACAGUGUAAGAAACCUACAUGCCUAAUCAAUCGGGUUUUCUAUAAUUUGCUUUCCUAUCUCAAUAGUCAUUUAAAUUAUACAUGACUAGUUAACUAUGAAAAAUUGAUGUAUAAUUUGUGGAUUGGCUGAGAAUGACAGAAAGUAUCCAGUGACAAGAACAAGGGUAAUAUACAAAUGAAUAAGGUUUGUAGUAAUUAUGUGACAAUACUCAUUUGUAUUUUUAUCUAUUCUUAUAUGAGAACUUUGGUUGGUCAUGUGAUUAUAUAUAUGUUUACAAAGAAGUGGUGAACAUAUGAAGGCAUGAGGUAUGUAAUCCAUUCAAAGUAUGUGGCUUAAUUGAUAAGCAUGAAUUUUCAAACAUGUAUUAUUGUUUGUGAUUUUUCCUAUGCCUAAAGAAUUUAAACAGUGCUUUGAUUAGUAAAUUUUUAUGUGUCAUAAGGGGAGAAGAAAAGAAACUUUUCAAGGCUAAUGUAGGGCAUAUAUUGGAGAUGUUUUCUAUGGAAGAAAAUAAUUUUGGUUGUUCCUUCUAUUUAAUUUGGUAUUUACAAAGCUAAUGCAUGAUUUUAAUGCUAUGUUUAGUAGUUUUGUACUACGGAAAGGAAUAUAUAAAAAGGAAAGGAACAUGUUUAACUUAAGAAAACAUUUGAGCAAUUUAGCUUUUAAGUAAUUGACUCCAUAAUGAUAAGUAUUGACAUUCAUGUGGUGGAAUGAAACUUGUUCUAUAUGUGAUUAAUCUCUUUCAAGUAUGCUGUCAGGUUUAUUGAGAUUAAUUUAAUGUCAAAGGGAAUCAUGAAGGAAUUAGUGCCAUUUGUUGGCAAGACUCGAAGCUCGAAUCAGGUUAUAAUAAUUUUGUCACUUACAUUUAAUUAAUCCAUGUGACUUCUUGUAUUGUUUCAGGGCAGAGUUGAUCAAUGUCUUGUCAACUAAGCAAGCCAUAGCCACUUAUUUGAUGCUGGGACUAUGGUUUUUAAGUUAUUGAUCAACAUUGCAUCUUAAUUAGAAUAAAAGCGAUAAUCUUCAGCCCCCAAGUGUGGAUUGUUUCUUUUAGUUUAAUUAUGAUGGCAUGGUAUGGGUUUUAUUUCAUAAGAGUAGUGAAAGCUUCAUCUGCCCAUAGGUGUUGAAGUUUUUCAUGAAGGUACUCUUGAGACAUAAAAUCUAGUACUAGAAACUAGUUAAUUUUCUGCCUAUAGGUGUAAAUUAACCUAGUUUCAUGAAGUUUAUUGGGGAUAAAGUUCCAUGCCAUCAGUUGCAAAUAUUUCCACUAUGAGCCCCAUAAUAGGUUGUGGUUUUAAGGCAUGGAAAUCAGUUGCAUCAUGACGUAUUUUGUGUCUCUUCAUGAGACUUCUUGAUACAAAGUAUUGGACCCAUGAAUGUUAAUCAAGGAUUGCUAAGGUACGCAUUGUUUAAAUCUUAUGCUUGUAAAUCUUUUCAAUUUGAACUAUGAUGUCGGUUUAGAGGAUGAAAUUUGACUACUAAAGUUUCCUUUGGACAUUGAAAUUGAAAUGAUAUGAAAUUGAGUUUGUUAUGGAUGCAUAAAAUCAUGAUAGAUGCACAUAAUUGGUUCCAGCAGAUUAUGUCACUUGAUUUAAAUCAGGUGAACGACACAUCUAAUGGUCACAAUGAUCUGAAUUUUGGAUAUGUUCAACAUAUAGAUGUCUACUAUAUGUCUGCAAAGUUUGGUAAUUUUCUGCCAUGUAUGUUAAUUAUGGUGAAUUUACUAGUAACCCAUGCUCGUACAGCAGUUUUACUGGCAGAUUGUAUUAGUCUUUUUGAGACGUGACUUUAGACUACUAUUUUGACCCAAAAUGGCUGUAUAUUUUUAUUUUAUGAAGAUAAGUAUGUCUAUUUUGAUCAGUAUAAAUUUGGUAGCAAUCAAGCUUAUAAAUUAAUUAUGAUUAAUUCUAAAGUAAGUGUAACUCGUUGCUGAAAUUCUGUUUGACAACUUUAUGUUGGUUGUAAUGUCUAUUUUAUUAUGUCCAAAUAUAAAGCAGUUUUAUUUAGGUACAUCUUUAAAAGAGUGUUUGCCCAAGUGGGAGAAUUAGUGAACAAAUAUUGGGCUUCACACUCGUUAACUUAUUUGCAAGUAUAAAUUCUGAAAACUUUGUGGGAGUUGUUCUAAAAUUUUGAGCACUAAGUGGAUUUGCAUGAAUCUAUUAAGGCGUUAUUCUAUCUUCCAUGAAUUUGUGUUACUUGAAUGUCUAUAAUAUGUUUAAGUUGCAUGAAUGGAUACUUGGUAUAUGCGUACAUUUUUCUGUUAUUUGGAAUCAUUUGGAUUUCUUGGUUGAUCAUUUGUUUUGAGGCUCAUAAGGACUUAGCAUAAAUGUGAAAUUAUUAAUACAUAUAAGAUGGUUGUUGGAUACAUGUUUUUUGUGUAACAGUGGUGAAUGCUUUCAUGCUUAGUUGUACCUUUCAUUAAGGUAAUAUGCAUUCAUUGACUGAGUAAGGCUAUUCCCAAAGGCAUAUUUUCAAAAGUAUGAUUUGAGUAUUGAUUUGCAAAUUAAGUAACAAUGUUGUAGAUCAGUGGGAGAUUGAGUUUUGUGUUAGUAAUGCCUUACAUUUGCAGAUGACCUAUAAUGUAUGUAUAGAAUCCAUGUAUUCAGUUUAAUCUUCAGUUGGAUUCAUUAAGUCACAUUUUUGUGUGCUAGUCAUUUAUCUGAUGAAAUAUAUGUCGGAUAUCAAGUUGUUAUCAAACUGCAUACUAAAUGGCAUGGCAUGGUCUGAUCUAUGCGUUAGUUGUGAGGAUUUCCAUCUGCCCACAGGUGUUGGAAAUCACCAUUAAAGUAACUGGUAAAGUGCAUAGAUCAGUGUAAAAAACAUGUUAAUUCAUUUGCUUAUAAGUGUUGGAUUAGUUUGUUUUAUGAAGCUUCUGGGUAUUUUACUUGGACAUGUGCCUAUUUAGUACUUUCAGUUGUGUCUGUUGGCUUCAAACAUUGUAUGUGUGCUUGUUAUUGGUUUAUUGAAAGUGAUGCGUGAUUGUUUUGAGAUGUACUCACGCCUGCAGGUUAUGGUGGUUUCAUUAGAUGAAGGAUAUCUGCAUUGGCAGAUUUAAGGCUUCGAAAAAGCGUAAAAGUGUAAUUUGUGUGUUACAAUAAGGUGGACCUGAGAUGAUAUAAAGUAAGACAUUUUGGUUAACUUAAAGUUUAUUUAAAGUUUCAUCUCUUGAUCAUAAUUUGUGUUUCAUGUGAAUGAGGAUCUUAGCAUGUGUGAUUAUGAAGGUUCUGGAUUGUGUCAACCCUACAACCUUGUUAGUUCCAUGUUGAGAAAUGCAUUUGAUAGAAACUGCAUUAAGGACGAGAUGUAAUCACUGUUACAUGCCCACUAAAGAGACAUUAGUCUCCAAUCUCAAGUAUAAACAUGAAUAUUACAUUUUGUAGACCAAGUGGGAGAAUGUUGGAUUUAUUCAAUAUAAUCAACCUUUAAGUGGUGUACUACAUGUAAUAGGAAUGUAAUGUUGGAGAAAUAAUGUUGAUUGUGAUUCGAUCUCUUAAGGAUAUUAAUCCUAUAUAAUGUGUCUUAUAUUGGAAAUAUGAUUGAUGGAAUCCUUAAUUGACUAUAAUUAUGAGGCUAAGAAAGUAAGUUUAGGUUUCCUUUAUAGAUGGAAACCCUGGCUUUUAGCCUAUACAUAUAAACACCGGUCCCUAUAAGCCCUAGAAACACAACACAAUGCUUCCCAUAGAGUAGUUGUAUUCGGCUAGGAGUUUAUAGAAGAUCUUGGUGUUGUCGUGCUUUGCUACUUUUGGUUUCAACUUCCAUGGCCGCCAUUGAAAUCAGGUUAGUCACUCAUUCGUUUGUGUUUUAAUUGUAUAACCUAAUAAGGCUAACAUUUAUGAGAAACAAAAUCCGGGAUUAGAAGAAGUGUAGGAAAAGAAAAGGGUGUGAAAUUUUGGGGUUGGAGUUGGUGAUGGUGGUGACUGGUGUUAGAAUUUUACCUGCAUUCCUUCUAACAAAAAUAUCUUGGAAAAAAAAAAACAAAGAGAGGAAAAGUAGCUCUCAAAAUUGAAAAUUCUAACGGAAAUGUUAAUUUUGGGAUUAAAUCCUAACAAAACUUCACCAUGAGGGUUUAAAUCCGAAUUUUUUCACCACUAGGGUUAUCUUCCUACUAACCUAUCACCAUGGGGACCAUUAAUCCAAUUUAGCCCAUUAUAAAUAAUCUAAAGUAGGAUUCGAUAUAAAUAUAAUGAAAUAGUAAUUUAAGGUUUUAGAUGAAUUAUUAAGAUUAUUUAAUGUCAUAGGGAUAAAAAUCCAUUUUCCAGUACAAUGUUUGACAAAGAAUUUUCUCUUAAUUAUAGUACGGAUGAUAUAUCUCAUAAAAUUACUUUGUCAAGGGCAAUAUCACAAAGUACAUAUAAUCUCUAUUUACAUCAAGAGAGAAAAGAAGACGGUCAAUAAACCAGAAGCCAUGCCAACAUUUUGAAUGGUGAUGGCUGAGGAAGGAGCAUGAGCAGGCGCAUCUGUGACGGGGGCAGGCGCGCCAGCGGUGGUCUCUUUGACCUUGGAAACAAGCUUGAAUGGGGAAAUCUUGCCAGACGAUCCGGGCUUGUUGACGACCUUGAUGUGGAGCUUUUGGCCAAACUCGCAGUGCUUGCCGACGCCACUGUAGUAGUAGUGGUCACCUGGUGCUGUGAGGUUGAGGAUGGUUGGUCCGUAGUAGUACAUGUAAAUGACAUUCUUCUGUGUGCAUUUGUCGAAGUCGUCCUUGUUGAUGACUACUACGUUGCCAGAGCCUGGCCUGUAGGGGAAAACUGCAAUUCGGACGACACAUUCAAGCAAGAAUCGUUAGAUAUAUAGAUACACCAAAUGGUAUUUAAGAGUACAUAAACCUAAAUCUUGAAAAUUUGUAGGCCAAGCCAAACUUUCUUUGAUGUACGUAGCUCAAAGGAUUUUCGAUUUUCGUCCUCAUUGUUUAAUUUGAAAACAAAAAUCAUUUAGAAUAGUAAAUUCGAGUAUUAUAUGUAUCUUACAAAUGUAUGUACAAACAAAUUAUUUAAAUUAUUUUCAAGGAUCAAACAAAAACUCCUUGUUUGUAUUUUAAUCUAGGGUUUCGUUUUGAACCUCAUUGCUUGAGUUCAAAACUGAAACCCUUUCGAGCCAAUCAUAUAGAUCACUCGUUCAAUUAUUGAUUAGAACCCUAAGUCGGGAAUUCAAAGCCUUUUGUACAAUAUAGAAGAUGAAAAUGGAUGCUAUUUUCUUUCCUUUCUUAAAUUUGAAAAAUCAACAAGAAAUUCUCUUACCAAGUCUGUCACCAACACCAAAGGUUCUUGGGAAAGCCCAGUCCUCGUAGAAGGUUUUGUUCUCAGGUACAGACCAGCCCUCUUUUCCUCCAACAAUGUGAGUGAAAGCAGUCACUGAUCCCAUCAAGAAGCAGCCGAUCGCUGCCGCCAUAAACACCGCAAACUGAAUCUUUUCCAUCUUGCCUCCCGGCUUUCUAUAUAUCUUUCGAUAUAUAUUUUUUCUUACAUAAAUUUAUUUGUUUCCCUAGUGAGCCGGUGUUGAAGGAAGCUUAAUUAUAAUAAAAUAAUAAAAAAUAAUAAUAACAAUAUUAACCUAGUUCUUGUUUCCUUCAACACAAGACGGCUAAAAGAACAAUGAGAUGCAUGCCUGCUAUUAAAAUUGUUUGGAGUUGCUUGAUCCUGUGAGGCUGUGAUUGCAUGGGAAGUGCAUGGUAUUUUAAGGGUUUUGGACGAAGUCAACGGUUAUGUUGUUAGAAAUAUGAGAUGGGGAUUUUGCCUAUUUUCAAAGGAGAAGAGGGUUUUUAGCACGCAAAACUAACAAUCUGCAUGCAGCGAUGUGGUUAUUUUUGGAGAAAUGACAAAUAAAUAUUUAAAUAAUCAGAUGCCUUGUUGAAACCUAAUUAAGCAAUUUGUUAAUUAAUAAACGAUUCACUGAUUUGAUUAUGCUUCUUUUUGAUACGAAAUCGUUUUCAGGUUAGUUAAUUAAUGACUUUAAUCUAUUAAUAUGACUAUAUGGUUAAUUUAUCGUUAAACUUGUUAAUCAACUGUAAUUCUGAACAGGAUGAUCAUGGACAUUGUACUUGGACUAGCUUUAGAUUAUACCGUAAUCACGCAAAUCCACAAGAACAUGUAUCAUGGCUCACCAAACACUAGUACCGUUUCUGGUUUUCACUGAUAAUGUAGGUUACAUGUACAUAGAGUUUAUGACAAUAAGAGUGUAAAGGCCACCGGAGGAAGAGGAGGUAGUCUGUGUGUUUAAAACAGUAAUAUAGAAAGCAUAUUGGAUCAACCUCCCUCCCCCUCUCUGGGCCCUCUAGCUGAGCUAAGUUGGCUUCAAUCAACACGAAAAUUCCUCAACAUGAGAAAAUUAUAUUGUUCUCAAUAUCAUUACUAGUCAUAAAAAAAGAGGCACUAAUUUGCACCACAUUGUACCAUUAACAAACUCUACAACUUCAAGUUUGACAAAACUCAUUAGUCAAAACUAUGCCGAAAUUUGCACCCAUAACUUGAUCAGGCAUCGAAGAGUUAUUGUCCGACAUGAUUACUCGGAUGAAUUUGGUCAAUACUUAAUCUUCAAAUAUGAUUUGUCUACAUAAAUGAUCCACAUGUUUACAAGUCACAAGUCCUGUCGCAACAAUAUACACAUAACAUAGACCAGUUUGGAAUUGAUGUGCUUUAAGAAUAAUUAAUUGUAAAAUAAAGUAUAUAAGCGUUUGAUAAACAAUAUUUGUUAAAGUGUUGUGAGUAUGAAAAAAGUGUAAAAGCGUUUGGUAAAUUUUAAUGGAGUGAUAUAAAUAUAUCCAAUGACCAAAUUGGACAUGGUAGUGAGGGUGGUGGCGGCGGGGGUGGUGGUGAUGGUAGCGGCAAUGGUGGUAGUGCCAAUAGUAGGGUGUGGUGGUUGGGGUGCAAAGAUAAAAAUGGGGGUAGAGGUGGCGGUAGUGGUGGUGGACUUGUUGUUGUGGCUGUGCUGCACUAGUACAAAAGCAUGUUUGAGCGAUGCAAAACACAAAAUGUCUCACAAUUGGCCCUUGCGCAACGACACUUUGGGCGACGAAGAUUGGCGUCGCGCAAAACAGCUUUGCGCGACAUAGGUAUACUUGCAUCGUGCAAAACAGAUUUGUGUGACCCAGUGUUCGUCGCGCAAAGUGUCGUUGCGCAAAGGCCAUUUACACUAUGAAGGUACACCUGCGUCGUGCAAAACAGAUUUGCGUGACCCAGUCUUCGUCGCACAAAGGCCGUUUUCGGUACGUUUUGUGCGUCGCGCACGAUUUUGGCGCCAAACCAAGAAUGCUUUACCGAUUUUUUCCCAACUUUGCGCGACGAAGACUGGCGUCGUGCAAAACAGCUGCCUGAUUGAUGAAGAUGAGAAUAUCUUCUUCUACACUUAUGUGCAGCCCCAAGUUGCUGUCACUAAUUACAGGUGAAUGUUUCUCAUAUUUGAUUUAUUUCAAGAAAUUUCAGAGUAAGCCUGUGAUGCGUUGAAUGUUUAUAUUCUAGAUAUGAAGUUACUGGGUUAAUGGAAGAGCAUCUUAGAAAUGCCAUGCCAAGCCACUUGUGGGGCAUAAUUUGGACCGGGAUAUGGAUUGCUUGAGAUUGAAUUAUCCUAAUUACUAGCUAAGGUAUAAGUUCCUCAUCGUAUAUGGCACCAAUGCACUUAGUUUACCAUACACUAAACCCCCCAUCCUAACAUAUAAACAUAAGAAUUUUGUAGAAAGUUUAAUAAAAAUAAAUUAUUUAAUAGUUCUGCAGACAAGUUAUCUGCAAAAUUGGUGGUAGACAAGGCAUAGACAAGACACUUCUUUCUCUCUCUGUCUCUCCCCACACACAUAGCCAUCUUUUUUCUGUGUACUUGUUGCUCUGGGUCAUGAUAUAUAACAUUCUAAUUGUCAUGAGGCUCUUGCUGAAUGUGUGCUUUAACUAUUUCAGAUUAGCAAGAAGCAAUAUGAAAUUGUUAAGAGCUUGAAGCAGUCUGGCAAAUCAACUCGCCCAUCAUGACAACAUGCCUUUAAAUAAUUGUAGCUUAAUUCACAAGAAACCAAUUAUUUAUUGCAUAACAUUGUCAAAUGCGAACCAGAAGAACAAUUUAUGUAUUGAGUAACAUUGAAAGAAAAAUAGUAGAUGUCCGAGCUAUGUGCAAUGUUCAUGCAUUGUAACUGCCAACUAGAAGAAACUGAAAUGUAUUUUUUCCUUCAUUUAGUAGGAUCUGAAUGUAUGAUUUAGCGUUUGAGCUGAAAGUAUGGUAUUUAUACUUUCAACAAACACUUAGAAUUUAAUUACAAUAUUUAUUAAAAAUUAAAUAAAAAUAUUUUUUUUUUAAAAAAAAGGGCUUGUGCGACGAAAAAGUAACCUGCGUCGUGCAAAGACAAAGGUUACUUCUUCAUCGCAUAAACCUUUUUUUUUUCGGAAUUUUUUUAUUUAAUUUUUAAUAAAUAUUGUAAUUAAAUUCUAAACAAUAAUUAAUAAACCAAGAAAAAGUAUUUAAUUAUAAAAUAUAUGAAAAUAUACAUACAAGAUGUUCAAACAAAAAAGAAAAUACUAAAACAAAUAGUCUUCUAGGUUUGAAACAUCAGGCUAACUAGGUAUCGGGUGGGUGAAGUGGCUAGUGUAAAUAUUUUAAAGGGAACUAUAACAAAAAGCUCCCGUUACUGUUCAUUUUAAUGAAAAACCACAUUUUUACACUAAAAAGGCAAUCCUGGUACUAUUCACUUUACCCUUUAUUUUGUCUUUAUCGUUAAAACUCAAAGUUUUCAAGCCAUUUUCAUUAGUUUUUCUCAUUUUAAAUUGGCGAUCGAAUUAGUUCAUUGUAUUCAACUAUUCAUAUUGGAUAAAGGAGUGUAGCUGUAAAAAAUCAUCAAAAUCAGAGUUAAAAUAACCGUUAAAUCGUGAUUUUUCGUUUAUAAGCGUUGAAAAGUUUUGUCCCAUUACUUGAUCUCUGAAUGUUUGUUUUUUGUGAUUUUUGGCAUAUGCUAUCUCGAAGUAUAUACAAAAGAGUUUGAUGGUUGGAUCGUUGAAAUUAGUUCGUAGAAUGCGUACCCAUCAAAAUGAUAGAUUCACUAACACUUAGAGUUUAUUUAUACUUUCAUUAAGUAUAACAUAAGAUUUUGUGGUAUUCACUAGUGUAAGUAUUUUAAAUUGACGAUUGAAUUAGUUCAUUGUAUUCAUAUAGGAUCAAGGAGUGUAACUGUAAAAAUCAUCAAAAUCCGAGUUAAAAUUACUGUUAAAUUGUGAUUUUUCAUUGAUAAUUGUCGAAAAGUUUUGUCUCGUUACUUGAUCUCUGAAUGUUUGUUUUUUGCGAUUUUUGGCGUAUGAAUGUCGAAGUAUAUACAAACAAGUUUAACGGUUGGAUCAUUGCAAUUAAUUUCUUAGAAUGCGUAUCUCAUCAAAACGAUAGAGUCCCUAACAUUUAGAGUUUAUUUAUACUUUUAUCAAGAAUAACAUAAGAUUUUGUGGUAUCUACUUGUGUAAAUAUUUUAAAUUAACGAUCAAAUCAGUUCGUUGUAUUCAUAUAGGGUCAAGGAGUGUAGCUGUACAAAAUCAUCAAAAUCAGAGUUAAAAUAACUGUUAAAUCGUGAUUUUAUCGAAAAGUUUUAUCCCAUUACUUAAUCUCUGAAUGUUUAUUUUUUUGCGAUUUUUGGCAUAUGCAAUUUCGAAGUAUACAAACAAGUUUGACAGUUGGAUUGUUGAAAUUAGUUCGUAGAAUGCGUAUCCCAUCAAAACGAUAGAUUCCCUAACACUUAGAGCUUAUUUAUACUUUCAUUAAGUAUAACAAAAGAUUUUGUGGUAUCCACUUGUGUAAAUAUUUUAAAUUGACGAUCGAAUCAGUUCGUUGUAUUCAUAUAGGGUCAAGGAGUGUAGCUGUAAAAAAAUUUCAAAAUCAGAGUUACAAUAACCGUUAAAUGAUGAUUUUUUGUUUAUAACCGUCGAAAAGUUUUGUCUUGUUACUUGAUCUAUGAAUGUUUGUUUUUUGCAAUUUUUGGCGUAUGCAAUAUUGGAAUAUAUACAAACAAGUUUGACGGUUGAAUCGUUGAAACUAGUUUCGUACAAUAUGUAUCCCAUCAAGUUCAAAGGUAUAUAUAUAUUUAUUAAGUAAAAUUUAUAAUAUUUAAAAAAAAAAAACCUUGCGCGAUGUCGAAAUGUAUACUUACGCCGCACCAUUUGUGAUAAUUUUGGCAGUGCAAUAGUAAAAAAUAGGCCAUUUUUUAAAAAAAAAUUUCCUGAGUUUUUUUUAUUUUUUUUAAUAGGCACUUUGCGCAAAAGCUUUCCUCCUCAGACUCUUAGUCCCUCGACUCUCUAACUCUCAACAUCCUUUUCCUCACAGUGCUCACCAGCCAUCACUGCCGUUAACCAACACAACGAUACCACUCAUCAUCUUUCUCGACGACAUCCCAGAAAACCCAGGCCAUCACCCCAUCACCCCUGUCGUCGAUUCUCUCCUCUUCGACAACACCCCAGCCGUCACAACCACCAUCACCCCGUCAUUAUCGUUGAGGACACUGCUACCAGCCAUCAUCCUUCUAAAAUUUAGGUAGUUUUGAAUUAGGCAAAGAUCCCAAAUAUUGAAUUCCCCCAUCCAAUUCACUCAAGAUCGCCUUUUUAGAGGUUGGUAGUGACAUUCUCUGAUUUACUAUAUGGCUAUAUUACUAGAGCAUGUCUGUACACAUUCAUGAAUUAACAACAGUACUGCGUUAAUUUGAUGAAUGUUGUGCCUUUUUCUUGUCCUCUCCCUCGCUCUCUCUUGUUAAUUUUGUUGGUUUGUAGCCACUGUGUUUAAUUGUUUAUUGAGGUGGUAUUUGGCCAAACCGAAUGUUUUAUGGACAUAAGGGUAGUGUUAUUUUUGCAUAGGCAUACUGAUAUAUUUUUAGGGUGUAUUUAUGUAAGAAGAUGGCUGGUGGUGUGGAACUUUUACAGUUAUAUAGACAUACUUUAGCUGUUUAUCUCCUCUUAGAUUGGUUUUCGACUGGAGUUUGUCAUCCAAAUCUUCUCAUUGCAUGUAUGGUUUUAGUUUUAGAAUUGGAUCUCUUUCUGACUUCCUCUUUGUUGUGCUAGGAUAGCACCAAACCAAUUGGAACCAACUCAAGCAACCCAUAGGAAAUAUAUCAAAUGAAAUGCAAGAACAGAAUAUAAAAGACACCAAGAUUUUAACGAGGUUCCUCAAUAGUCAGUGUAACUGGAGUACGUCCUCGGAGCAGUAGGAGCUCACGCAAUAAUCCACUAUCAACCAAAUGGGAGUUUACAAAGUGUUGGCAAUCUCACAACUCAAAACCCCAAUACACCUAAUAACUCUCACUCACCAAAUAAACAAAUAGAGAAGGAAAUAUAAUGAAUAAUUUCAUCUCUAUACAAAGCUCAAAGCUAAUACAACAAAUACAACUUUGAUGGAGUGGUAGUUAACCAAUGAGAGGGCACACUUUAUUCUUCUCUCCAAACAUGGGGUUGCGGCACUUUUUUUUGUUUUGCUCUGCUACUAUUUUAUUUUCCUGCUCAGAAACAAAAGGCAGCAGCUGCCUUAAUUAAAAACCUAGCCACUCCUGUGGCUUUCCACAUGGGCCAAAUAAAAAGGCCCUUUAAAUGGACUGUUGGGCUUACAUAUAAAGGCCCCUAGAAUUUGGCCAAAUAUUCAACAAUCUUCACCUUGGUCAAAUUUCCGAAAACGCCAUGACGAGACAAACCAAAAUAAUCAACAAUUAACACAAAACCACUCCCGAAAGUAGCAAGAGAAUGACUCAUGCCAAGCCAAAAUGCUCCAAAGCUCCUACUGCUCAACGCCUGCUUUAUAUAGGCAAAAUGUGAGCCAAGUUCAAGCAAUGAACAAACUUGGGUACACCAACAACCUUAGUCAACAUAUCAAUGGGGUUCUCUUUAGUUGGAAUCUUCUGGAGAAUGAUAUCCCCUUCACUAACAACUUCACGAACAAAGUGAUAACGCACAUUUAUAUGUUUAGUCCUCGCAUGAUGAACCUGAUGUUUAGCCAAAUAAAUGGCACUCUGACUAUCACAAUGCAACUCCACUUGUUUUUUAUCAACCUCUAAAUCUUUAAUAAGUCUAUGUAUCCAACUAGCCUCCUUCAUAGCUUCGGCAACAGCCAUAUAUUUAGCCUCUGUAGUGGACAAGGAAACAGAAUAAUGCAAAAUGGACCUCUAACAAACUAGCCCUUUAGCCAUAGUAAACACAUAGCCUGUAGUAGACUUCCUUUUAUCCAAAUCACCUGCAUAAUCUGAAUCAACAUAACCAAUUGCAAAGUGACCAAUACCAGAGUCAUCCCUCUCAAAGCAUAAACCAACAUCUCGAGUACCAUGGAGAUACCUUAAUAUCCACUUAGCUGCAUGCUAAUGUUCUUUACCAAGAUUGUGCAUAUAUCGACUCACCAUACCAACUGCAUGAGCAAUAUCCGGUCUAGAGCAUACCAUUGCGUACAUCAGACUACCAACCAAAUUUGCAUAUGGUAUAUUUUUCAUUUGCAGCUUCUCUUUAUCAAUUUUAGGACAUUACAGAGAAUUCAAUUUAAAAUGAGGAGCCAAAGGGGUACUAACCGGUUUGGUUGAAUCAUGAACUUCAAACUUCCGAAUCAACUUCUCAAGGUAUUGUCUUUGAUUCAAGCAUACCAAACCUUUUUCUCUAUCUCUAAUGAUCUUCAUGCCAAGGAUCUUCUUCGCUUCACCAAGGUCCUUCAUCUCGAACUCGUUCUUCAUUUGUUUCUUCAAUUUCUCAAUUUCUUCGACAUUCUUUGAGGCAAUCAACAUAUCAUCAAUAUAUAUCAACAAAUAAACAAAAGACCCAUCUUGUAACUUCUUGAAGUACACACAAUGAUCAUAUUGACUUCUAGAAUAAUUUUGGCCUCUCAUAAAUUUAUCAAACCUCAAAUACCAUUGUCUUGGAGGUUGCUUCAAGCCAUAAAGUGAUUUCUUCAACUUGCAAAACAAAUUCUCUUUCCCUUUCACUUUAUACCCAUCCGGUUGACACAUAUAAAUCUCUUCAUUCAAAUCACCAUGUAGGAAAGCCGUCUUCACAUUGAGUUGCACAAGCUCAAGAUCAUAUUGUGCAAAAAGAGCUAACAUAAUACGAAUUAAGGAGUGCUUCACAACCGGAGAAAAGAUUUCGUUGUAGUCAAUGCUCUCCUUUUGUGCAUACCCUUUAGCAACUAAUCUUAUUUUAAAUCUCACAUUGCUUUUCUCAUCAACACCUACUUUCUUGACAUACACCCAUUUGCAACCGAUAGCUUUCUUACCCUUAGACCAACUCCAAUAGUGGGCUAAAAGCCAAAUUACCCCCCAAAAUUUCCCCCCAAACCCAAUCCAACCCAAGGGGAAAAUUUGGGCUAAAUGCUAAAUGCUAAACCAAGGCCAGAUUCCCCCCAAAAUUUUCCCCCAAACCCAAUCCAACCCAAGGGGAAAUUUUGAGCUAAAUGCUAAAUGCUAAACCAAGGCCAGAUCCCCCCCAAAAUUUAGCCCAGAAAUCGGAAUUUAAUUUUUUCAAUAUUUAUCGGAAUUUAAUUUUUUUUAGAUUAAAAUGUUCAUAAAAUUAAUUUACGACAGUCUACAUAUUUAUUUAUUUUUUUAAAAAAAAUUUAAUUUAUCCACAAAAAUAGCCUAAGUUCAUUCUUUAAUAAUCCCGGGCUAAAAUUUUAGGUUAGAAAGGUUGGAGCAGAAAACUGUUUCUGGGCUAAAAGCUAAAUUUUUCGGGCUAAAAUAUUUGUCUUUUAGCCCAACCAUUGGAAAUGGUCUUAGGCAAUUCAGCUAACUCCCAAGUCUUGUUCUUCAAGAGAGAAUUCAUCUCGUCACCCAUGACAUUGCGCCACUUCUCCUUUUCUUCACUCUCAAUAGCUUCCUCAAAAUUGGAUUGAAUCUCAUCGGUGAUAAUAGGAAGAGCAAAAGAAACAUAAUCACUAUACCGAGUUGGCUUGGUAAUAUUUCUCUUUCCUCUGUUCUUGGCAAUAGAUUCUUGAGGUGAAACUUGCUCUUCAUCUAGAAUAGAUUCUUCAAGUUCAACUACUUCAACAUCCUCUCGGUCUCCCACUUCUUCACUUGUAGUGGCUUCGACAUCAGUUGAAAUAUGAUUUAAAGUACUAAAGGCAGCUUUCUCAAGCUACAUUUGUUGGACAUCUUUCACAAUCUUCUCAGAGUAUCUGAACAUACUUUCUUCAUCAAAUGUCAUAUCUCUACUAAUUACAAGUUUCUUCAACUCUAAGCACCAUACCCUGUAACCUUUGACACCACUACUAAAACCAAGAAAGAUAGUCUUUUUGGCUCUAGAAUCAAAUUUAUUUUCAGUUACAUGAAAAUAAGCAAGUGAAACAAAAAUACGGAUAUAGUCAUAAUCAGAAGAAGGUUUUCCAGUCCAUACCUCCAUCGGUGUCUUGCCUUGAACAUCAGCUGAGGGUAACUGGUUGAUGAUGUGACAUGCAUAAGUAACUGCCUCUACCCAAAAUGACUUGCUCAAACCCGACUGAGGCAACAUACAUCUAACCUUCUCAAGAAAGGUUCGAUUCAAUCUUUCUGCAACUCUAUUUUGUUGUGGAAUUCCCCGAACACUAAAAUGCCUCACAAUCCCUUCAUCUUUGCAAACUUUAAAGAAAGGAUUGCAUGUGUAUUCACCACCAUUAUCCGAUCUCAAAAUCUUAAUCUUUCUCCCAGUCUGGUUCUCAACCAUUUUCUUCCAACUUAAGAAAAUGCUCAACACCUCACUCUUGUGCUUCAUUGUGUAGACCCAAGACCUUCUAGAACAAUCUUCAACAAAGGUCAUGAACCAUUGUCUACUACUCAAAGAAUGAGUCUUUGUAGGACCCCAAACAUCUGAAUGCACAUAAUCAAGAAUGCCCUUCGUUUGAUGUACUGUAGUACCAAACUUCACUCUAGUUUGCUUCCCCAAGACACAAUGCUCGCGGAAAUCAAACUUACAAGUCGUGGCACCUUUUAGAAAACCUUGUAUCACAAGCCCUUGUAGAGUUAUCUCACUGACAUGGCCUAAUCUCAUAUGCCAUAGUUUAGUAGUAUCUGAAUAAGAUGUGCCCGUAUUUUCUAAGACUACAAACACUUCACCUGUCACAAUGCUUCCUUGCAAUAGAUAUAAAUGACCAUAUCGAGGAGCUUUCAUCACAACAAGUACACCAUAAGUAACUUUCAAUGUCUGCCCAUUUGAAUGAAACCUGAAGCCAUUAGAUUCUAAAAAGCCCAAAGAAAUAAGAUUUUUCUUCAAAUUCGGUAUAUACCGAACACAUAUCAACUCUUUAACCAUGCCAUCAUGCAACUUCAAACCAACUGUACCGAUCCAUUUUGUUGUGCAAGGAUUGUCAUCUCCCAUGAAAACAACACCACCAUCAAUCUCUUUCAAGCUUGAAAACCAAUCCUUGUGAAGAGUCAUAUGAUGAGUACAACCCCGUAUCCAAUACCCACUUAGUAACACAAUCAAAUGAUGAGGAAACGGUUAAAGUAAAAUCAGAAAAAUCAUUUUCAAGCUCAACAACAUUAGCUUCAGAACUCACUUUGCCUUUGGUAUUCAACCUAGGACAAUCUUUCUUCCAAUGACCUUUAUUAUGAUAAAAAGCACAUUCAUCCCUUUCCAAACUUUUUCUACCUUUAGAAGUUCCUAUAGGUCGAGAAAGUGAUUUUUUCUUACUAGAGAAUAAUCUUCUCUCUGAUGAUUUACCUCUAACAAAUAAAGCUUCAGAGCUAUUAUCAUGAUUCUUAUCAACAUGCCUCAUUUCAUAAUUCAUCAAGGCAUUCAACAUCUUCAAAUUUCAUAGUUUCUUUACCAUACAUAAUAGUGGUAACAAAAUGCUCAUAAGAGUCCGGCAAAGAAUUCAACAAUAUUAAGACCUUAUCUUCAUCCUUAAUAUCCUCAUCUAAAUUCAUCAAAUUGGCAAUCAACUUAUUAAAAGCAUCAAGGUGUCUAACCAUUUUUGUACCUUCUUUAUAUUGGAAGCGGUAGAGUUUUUUUUUUCAAGUGUAGUCGAUUCUCCGCACUCUUUGUCAUGUACUUGUCUUCUAAUUUUUGCCACAACACAUUUGCCAAUGUCUCUUGCAUUACAAAAUAUUUUUGAGUUUUUGCAAGGCACAACCGAAUUGUGGAGCAAGCCUACAAAUUUAAUUUAUCACAUUCCGACCUUGACAUAGCUUCCGACUUAUCUCCCAAAGCGGCAAGUAGAUCUUGUUGAGCCAACACAUCCUUGACCUCAUAUUGCCACAUCCUGAAGUUGUUUGUGCCAUCAAAUUUUUCCACUUCAAACUUUGCAUUUUGCACUGUAGUUCUUGCAAAUCUGGAGCUGCUUCUAAAAGGAUUCUCAUCUUGCUCGUCUGACAUCUUUAGCAACUAGACGGUACCCAUGGGCAACCAGUGCUCUAAUACCAAUUGUUGUGCCAGGAUAGCACCAAACCAAUUUGAACCAACUCAAGCUAACCCACAGGAAAUAUAUCAAAUGAAAUGUAAAAACAGAAUAUAAUAGACACCAAGAUUUUAACGAGGUUCCUUAAUAGUCAGUGUAAUUGGAGUGCGUUCUUGGAGCAGUAGGAGCUCACCCAAUAAUCCACUAUCAACCAAAUGAGAGUUUACAAAGUGUUGACAAUCUCACAACUCAAAACCCCAAUAACUCUUACUCACCAAAUAAACAAAUAGAGAAGGAAAUAUAACGAAUAAUUUCAUCUCUAUACAAAGCUCAAAUCUAAUACAAGAAAUACAACUUUGAUGGAGUAAUAACUAACCAAUGAGAGGGCACACUUUCUUCUUCUCUCCAAAAGUGGGGCUGCGGCACUUUUUUUUGUUUUGCUCUGCUGCUCUUCUAUUUUCUUGCUCAGAAACAAAAGGGCAGUUGCUGCCCUAAUUAAAAACCUAGCCACUCCCGUGGCUUUCCACAUGGGCCAAAUAAAAAGGCCCUUUAAAUGGGUUGUUUGGCUUACAUAUAAAGGCCCCUAGAAUUUGGCCGAAUAUUCAACACUCUUCAGCUCAUGUAUCAUGGGGUGGUCUGACUUUAACAAACUAUGCCUACUUAUCAGGAAUGUUCUUUCGAAAACCUCACCUUUCAUUACUUGUCGAGCCUUCAGAUAUUUUGGCCUUUUUAGUUAUAAACCUUGCAAUAUGUAUAUAUAUCUUAGAGUAAAGUCACCAUCUUAUUCAUUGCUGAUCAUGUUUUAGAAACAUAACAUCUUCCUAUAUCGUCAUGAAUCCACAUUAGGCGAUUCCGUUAUCUAUUCUUUCUAAAUUGCUUGAUAAAUGCUAAUGUAAGACAAAUUUAUCUAAUACAUGCUAAGUUGGACAGGCCAAAGACAUAACAGAUUUAGGUUCCUUGAAGGAGGCAGCAUAAAUCUUCAUUCCAGGUACAGGUAACAUGGUUUCUAUCUUCUCAGUCUCAGCCUCUGAUUUGGUAAACCAAAAAAUUCGGGAAUGUGUGUAAACUUAUAAUUUGCUUCUCUCAUUAUCCUUCUUCAACUAUGUCUUGUAUUGAUUCUUAUUCCUAAUCAUUCUACAAUUGCAGUUCGAUCAACUGUAUACUCUGCCCGAGCUAUAAGGACAAAGGAAGAAGGUUUUAGGUAAGCUCAACUUUGCCUUCUUUUCUCUCUCAAGAAAGAAGUCAUACCUGUCAUGGUCCCUCAUCUAACCCGUCACUGAUGCACAUUUCUGGAACAAGCAUGCAGCCUUCUUCAUUUCACUGUUAAGUUUAUCUGCUGUUACUUUCAGUUCUACAGGAACUCUUGCUCCUAAUUUUUGGCUGUUAACCAUCUUUAAUUAGUAUUGUUUCUACCGUUGCAGUGCUGCUUUAUAUAUAUAUAUAUAUAUAUAUAUAUAUAUAUAUAUGUGAACAAAUGCAAGAAAGGAUAUGCUAUUACUUUGGCUGCUAAUUGAUUAGUUUCAAAUGCAAGAAAGGAUUAGUUUCUAAUGUUAUAAUUUUAUGGUUCAAAAAGUGUAUAGAUGUCGCGGUUGAUCGCUCGUCGUCGGAGUGUGACCAAUGCGCCUCCCGCAUUAUGAACAUCUACUGCUCCAAUAACCUGAUGUAUCAAACCUAGAAGAUUACUUGUAGUUUUUUUUUUUUAUUCGGACAUCUUGUAUGUGCAUUUUCAUAUAUUUUAUAAUUAAAUACUUUUCCUUGGUUAAUUAAUUAUUGUUUAGAAUUUAAUUACAAUAUUUAUUAAAAAUAAAAAAAUAAAAAUUUUGACCAAAACAAAAGAAAGGGUUUGCGCAACGAAGAAGGCAUCAUAUAAAGCCACUAAGCCACUUUGCGCGACGUAUGUCCCUACGUCGCGCAAAGCCACCAAAGCCACUUUGCGCAACGCACAUCUCUACGUUGCGCAAAGAGGCUUUGUGUAACACAUGUCCCUACGUCGCGCAAAGCCACCUAAGCCACUUUGCGCGACGUAUGUUCUUUUUCGUCGCGCAAAUCCUACUAUGACGGUUAGCUCGCGAUGAAGGUUUUGUUGCACUAUUUUUUAGGCAACGAUUUUUCACUUUGCGCGACGAAGCUAUCUACGUUGCGCAAAGUGUUUUUUCUACUAGUGCUAGUAGUUGUAGUGGUGGUUGUGGUGGUGGCGGCAAUGGCGGUGGCGGUGGCGAUGAAUUAUGGUGGUGGUAAUUACGGCGGUGGAGUAAGGUUAGUGUUUGUACUAGUAGGUGGUGGUAGUCGCUUUGUUCUUUUAUGGAUAAUGUGUUUUGAAAAAAUAAAUAAUGUCAUUUUCAAAAAACUUAAUAGUAACGGUUGCUCUCCAAUGGAUAGUGUAUUACAAAAAUUAGAAAUAUUCAUUAAAAGCUUUACUCUGCUUUUAUGGUAGCAAUUUUUAAAAGCAACUUACAUGCUACUUUUACCAACUGUUUUUGCUUUUGGUAAUAAAAAAAUACCAAACAAAUUGCUUCAUGGUCCUGGUUGUUUUACUGUGUAAUCGAAUAACCUGCGAGCUUAUCCUAAUUAGUUGAUUCCUAACCGGGAUUCUGACUCAUCUGAGAAGUUUAUUACUGUUGGUGGGAUCUAAUCUUAGGGAAGCCAUUUUUAUCCAAACUAGAGAUCGUUUCUUGAACUUGACACCAGUGUUGCCUCAAGUCGAUUCAUUUUAUGGCAGGAAGAUGAGGGGAUAAAAAGACAAGUAGGUAUGCUUUGGAUAUUUAGAUGCAUAAACUUGGAAUUCACUGUGUAAAAUGGGCUAGUUAGCUUCCCGAUUACUUUUGGGUUUCCAGAUUGUACCAAAAUGUUGAGAUGUUAUAUCAAAUAAGCAACUGCUCCAAAGUCAAUAUCAACAACCACGAGCUGGUAGCCCAGUAGCAAAUGACGGAUUACAAGACUUCUUUAAAACUAAAAAUUGGAGGUCUUGGGUUCGAAACCCACUACUGGUUUGAAAGUCAGACUUAUGGUCAGGAAAGGCUAAAAUGCUUUUGUGAGUCUUUUCGGAUUCCGGAAGAUUGGAGCCACUAUUUGUCACUUUUUUAUUUUUUUAUUUUUUUAUAUUUUUAAAAAGGUCGAUAUCAACCAUUGAAUAUUGUGAUUUUGUUAUAUGCUUUCUGACGAUGAACAAUCAUUAUUAUUCAGUUGCUAUUAGCAUUAAUCGGUCAGUGGCUUUACCUAGAUGUAUCAUUCUAGUUUCUGAAUGCAAAACCUGCUUUUAUGCAAACACUUAGACGUUUCUUUCAAUUAUUUUUUCGUAACAGCAAAUGAAGAAGUUUUCAUUAGUUGGGCAGCAACAGAAGGAUGCAAAGCCAAUUGACAGGAAAGCCUGAUUGCUUUUUGUGUUGAUAAGAUUCUUAGGCAGAGGUCUUUCUCGUACGGAUGACUCCUUUUUCUUUCCUUCCCACCUUCCAUUUUUAUGGGUGACAAACCGACAAUUAUUGAGGUCGUAAAAUGUUUUUCUGAUUUUCUUUUCAUACAAUGUGCUAUUUUUCCUAUUCUACUUCUGUGCUUCAUGUCGUUAGUAAACAGAAUGCAGGAACGCAAUUGCCAAACAGCGAUACGACACGAUACGACACAGCGAUCCGGCUAUUGUCUAAAUAUUAGGAUACGAUACGUCUUCUACAUAGAGCUCUCUCUCUCUCUCUCUCUCUCUGCCCCUCCCACUCUCUCCCCCUCCUCUGGUUAGAUCAUUUCAUCGUUAAGGUGCUUUUGUUGCGUAUUCAAAAUGUCAGAUUCGCAUAUCAAAAGCGUAUCGACGACGUAUCCAGAUGUCCACUGGUCAACGGAUACGUUCAGAUACGUAUCCGGAGCGUAUCGGCACGUAUCGUAUCCCAGACCGUAUCUGAUACGGGAUACGCUCUUAAGUUGGCGUGUCCGUGCGUCAUAGCACUCAACCAUGAAACUUGAAUCCAAAGUACACAAUGACAAAACAGGAAGAGAAAAACAAAUGGGGAAAAGUGAUUUUGAACUAACCAUCGUUGCUGCUGUGACCGGGAGCUGGAGCGGGAGACAUGGGUUUGGCCUGAACAGCAGAGAUGGAAAUGCCAAAAAUGACGACGACAAUAGCCUCAACUACAAAAGGAUUAGGAGAGAGCCUGGGAAUGGCCAUUGUUGUUGCCUCUUUCGGAGUCCUUGCCUGGAAUGCUUCCAAAGAGGUUUCCUCAGAUCGAGAGAGAGAGAGAGAGUCCGGAAGAACUCGAAAGAAUAAAAGGGUUGUGAGACUAAGCCGGUAAUGCCGUAACCUAGCGUGGGGUGACCAUUUUCAACCCUUGGCUUAAAAUAAAAAUUUUUAGCCCAGAAAAUUUAGGUUUUAACCUAGAAACAGUUUUUCUGCUUGAAUCAUUCUGGCCUAAAAUUUUAGCAUGAGAUUAUUAAAGAAUGAACUUAGGCUAAUUUUUCUUAAAUUAACUUUAAAAAAAAUUAAAAAUUAUGUAGACUAUCGUAAUUUAAUUUUAUGAACAUUUUAAUCUAAAAAUAAAUCAUUAAAUCGACACAUGAAACUCACCAAACUUUCAACUUUCAACAAUCGUUCAACUUUCAACAAACUUUCAACUUUCACCAAUCGUUCAACGUUCACCAAACUUUCAACUUUUACCAAUCUUUCAACUUUCAUCAAUCAUCCUCUAUAUAAACACAGGUUGAAUAUCAGUUGAUCACACAAUCUUCCAACCUUCAAUCAUCCUCUAAAUCCACCAAUCUUUCAACUUUCAAAGUGUUUUUGUUUCCUAAAGUCCUUAAUAUCUCAUCAAUGGGUGAUAGAAGAAGACGUAGCAGGGCAAUGCAGAUGACACAAUACCAAGCAUGCCUUGACAUUGAGGAUAUAGAAAUGAUCAAUGCAGAAGUUGAACUUGCAAACUCGCUUAUGCAAUAUGAGCACUAUGCUGAAUCUAGCCAUCGUGGUUUUGUCACGGGGCGUUCAUUUGUGCAGCGUGAUAGAGAAGAGUGUCAUGACCGAAUGAUGAAAGAUCAUUUCAUCAAGCGUUCGAGAUUUCUUGCUCAUGAUUUUCAAAGGUGGUUUCGGAUGAAGAGAAAGCUUUUUGAUAGCAUCUUGAAUGCAGUUGUCAAUCAUGACCACUACUUUGCAAGGAAGAUAUAUGUCAUCGGCCGACAAAGUCUAUCACCUCAUCAGAAGCUCACUUCUGCAUUUCGGAUUUUAGCUAAUGGGUGCUCUGCAGACUCAACUGACGAGUAUUGUCAACUUGUGGAUAAUACUGCUAUUGAGAACCUGAAGCACUUCUGUCAGGCAAUUCAAGCCAUAUAUGGAGCCACAUAUCUCCGCAAACUAAAUCGUGAAGACUUGAAGAGGCUUUUACGUAAGGUAGACAAAAGAGGCUUCCCUGACAUGAUAGGAAGUUUCGAUUGUAUGCAUUGAGAGUGGAAGAAUUGGCCUACUGCUUAUUAACCCUAAGAUCAAUAUUGCAGAAGAAGAAAUGAAAAUUAUCAAAAGAAGAAGAAGAUAACUUGUAUUUCUCAGUAAAAGCAAUCACAAUACAAGAGAGGGAAAAUCUCUUUUUAUACAUUCCGCUUAGCUUAUACUAUAAGCCUCUAAUGAUGUGGCACAAGUGUACAUGUCAUCUAUAUCCAAUAUCCUCCCUUAAUCGUAACUAGGAUUUCCUAGUUUAAGAUUGGUACAAUGUUUGAUGAAGUCAGGACCAUUUAAUCCUUUAGUUAACACAUCUACCACUUGAUCCUUUGUGGAAAUGUACUGGACUUGAAGAUCUCAUUUUUGAACUCUUUCUUGAACAAAAUGAAGAUCGGUUUCGAUGUGUUUAAUCUUGGAAUGUUGAACCGGAUUGAGACUUAAGGCAAUAGCAGACCGAUUAUCCCAAUGUAAAAGAGGGGGCUAAUGUAAAACCACACCCAUAUCCUUCAAUAUCAGCUGUGGCAUGAGCUAAAGCCUUGUAUUCAGACUAAUGUCUCUGUGUAAUCCAACCCUUUUUCUUGACUGAAACCAUGUGCAACCAACCUAGCUUUAUGUCUAGAGAUAGAACCAUCAGGAUUUCUCUUUAGUUUAUAUACCCAUUUACAACCAACAAUAUUUUUAUCUGGAGGUAAGGGAAGCUUGUUGCCAAUGAGGAAUUUGAGAAGCCACCCUGAAAUUAGAAGGCUCAGAGGCAUCUGUAAUAUCAACAACAACGGUAAAUCCUCCAGAAAAAUGAGUACAAUCAUGUAAUUCCAAAGUUUGAACUUGAGGACAAACUACUGCAAGUGCAGUGUAAUCCUUUCUAGUGAUGGUUCUAGUUUUAAGCCUUGUUUGAAUACCCGGAAGAGCAUCGGCUAGUACUGAAGUAGUAGAUACUGAAGAAGUGGAAAGUGACAGACAUGCAACAUAGAGGGAGUGGAAAGAGUAGCUGUGAACACGGAAAAUUCCUGAAACGAAAGAUACAAGAACAACGUGCACAAACAAAUAUUUGUAUUUUGAUAGUUUUGGGUUACAAUCUCUCUCUAUUUUGAUCCUCUGAUUCGAUCUUCGUAAGGUGUGUAUUUGUGGAUGUGUGAUUGAUCCAAAGGGCCGUUGGGCUUGAUCUAAGGAUGAACGUUCUUCAAGGGCCGUGGACUUGAUCUUGAAGGUGGAUUUGAGCGGAUCUUCAAAGGGGCUUUUGGGCUUGAUCUUUGAAGAACAGUGACGAACGGAUCUCCAAGGGAUUUUGGGCUUGAUCUUGAAGAACAGUGAUGAACGGAUCUUCAAGGGCUUUUGGGCUUGAUCUUGAAGAACGGUUGGAUGUGUGGAUUUGUCGACGUUGUUGAUCCAAAGGGCCGUUGGGGCUUGAUCUUGGAUGAACGGAUGAUGAACGAUGGUGCUUUCUUCAAGGGCCGUCGGGGCUUGAUCUUGAAUUGGUGGAUGGUUGAUCCAAGGGCCGUCGGGGCUUGAUCUUGGAAGAACAAUGAACGAAGAACGAAGAACGAAGACACUUUCUUCAAGGGCCGUCGGGGCUUGAUCUUGAAUUGGUGGAUGAUUGUUGAUCCAAAGGGCCGUUGGGGCUUGAUCUUAGGAUGAACGAUGAACGAAGAACGCUUUCUUGAUUAUUCGGGAACCUGGAUGCUUGAGAGCUUCGGAGUUUCAGAGCUUCAGAGCUUCAAGAGUUUUGCCUAAUGAUUUUGGUUUUUUUUUUAAAUGAAUGAAAUGGGCUUGUAUUUAUAGAAUUUUCCAAGGCCUAACUUUGAAUAUAAUAUUCCAGAUGAAAUAAUUCGUUUCUGCCAGGUGUUGACACGUGUCCUAUUUGAUGACUUUUCCAACUCAUUUCAAUUUUCGUUGAGUCACACGCUACGUGUAAAAUUUAUGUAAUACAUGAGCGUUGACACUUUGAUUUAUCGGUCAACAUUUAUUUACCGAAAUUUCGAUGUCUACAGUAGCAUUUAAACUAGAAGUAGCUAGAUCGAGAUUAGGAUCCUGUACAUGAUUGGACACACUAGAGUCUUGGGAAUAACCGCUAGCCGUUGAUGCAUUUGAAACUAAAUUCUCAAACAAGAAUAAAUCUUGAUUAGGAUGUGAAGCCAUCAGAUUAACCACAACAGGUCUUAGAGGUACAGUGGAAGAUGAAACAGAAUUUGACGGUGUAUAUGUUGGAGAAGAAUGACUAAUAUAAAAAGGAAAACAACCUUCAUCAUGUAUAACAUGUCGUGAGAUUACUAUUUUAUCUGUAAUGGGAUUAUAACAUAGUGCCCCUUUGUAACCAAAGCAAUAACCCAAGAAAACACAUUGACUUUACCUAGGUUCAAGCUUGUGUGCAUUAUAAGACCUGAUAUAAGGGUAAAUAGCAUAACCAAACACUUUCAUGGAAGACAAAUCAGGUUUCUUAUCAAACAGUUUUCCAAAUGGUGAUUGCAUCCUCAAAGUUCUAGCUGGCAUUCUAUUAAUCAAGAAAACAGCAUGUGCAACUGCAUGGUACCAGAACUUAAGUGGUAGUUUGGCAGCAUUUAACAUAGUCAGUGCAUUUUCAACAAUAUGCAUGUGUUUCCUUUCCACCAAACCAUUUUGUUGAGGUGUAUAAGGACAUGAAAUAAAAUGCAAUAUCCCAUGAGUAGCAAGAUAAUCCUUGAAAGUAUUACUUAAGAAUUCACCACCACCAUCAAAUUGUAAUACCUUUAUUUUUGUAUUAAACUGAUUGUCUACAUAAGCACAUAAUCUUACAAAAGCACCAAAAACUUCAGAUUUAUUCAUUAAUGGAAACACCCAUGCAAAUCUUGUUGCUUCAUCUACAAAAGACACAUAGUAUUUGAAUCCCUCAAUUGAAACAACUGGUGAAGGACCCUACAUGUUAGCAUGAACUUUAUGAAAAGGAAUAUCAACUCUAUCUAACUUCUCUGAAAAAGACAGUUUACUCAUUUUGCCACUCAGACAUUGUGAACAAACAUGAGCAUUGACAUCACUAGAGACAGACACAUUAGAAUCCCUAAGCAUAGCUUCCAAAAUCUCAUUUGAAGGAUGACCAAACCUAUUAUGCCACAAAGAAGUCUUGACAGCUUUUCCCAUGAAUGCAGCAGUAAUAGAAUCACCUUGAGAAAGUAAAGUUGGAAACACAUGUACAAGAAUCUUAAACAACUCAUUUUGGCUACUCUUUCCUUUGUAAAGUAUCACCCCUGUUACCUUGUCCUGCACAAAGAAUUGGAAAUCAUCACAGAUAAACCAACUAUUGUUAUCUUUGCACAAUUGUUUCACAGAGAGAAGAUUGACUGUUAACAUCGGAACAUGCAAAAUAUUUCAAAGAUAAAACAUGUGAGAAGGGGAUUGUAAUGUGUCGUGACCAAUAUUUUGAACAGUCAAGCCUUGACCACUACCAACAAUGAUUUGUUUAUCACCAUCAUAAGGAACUGCAGAAUUUAAGAGUGUGAUAUUAGGGCUCAUAUGAUGAGAAGCACUUGUAUCCACUAUCCAAGACUCACACUUAGCAGAAGGUUGUGCAGUGAAAGCAAUCAUAGGAGAAGAAACAGAAGACCCUUGAACUUCAAAAAAAUCUGGAAAACUUGUAGAUGACUAACCUUGAUGUAGAAAUGAAGGAGCAAUGCCACUAAAAUACUCUGGAGGAGGAGAAAAACCUUGAAAUCCAACAUUACCAGGAAAGGAAACAUAAGACAUAGAAUUAGAUGCAUAAUUGAGAGGAAAAAUCUUGAGAAACAUAAUUAGCACUGAGUGAAGCAGGAAAUGGCGCUCCUUGUUAGGCAUAAUUGCCACGAUGCCUGCAAUCAACAGCAAUAUGUCCCUUUUUACCACAAAUUUGACAUUCUUGAACCACUUGAGUAUUAUCAGAUCUAUAUAGACAAGUAAUUGCAGUAUGACAUUUCCUCAAACAAAUCUGACAUUCAGGAAUGAUCUCUUGUCUAUUAGAUGUGUUGCCAGACCAAAAGUUGCCAUUUCGAGAACUAUUAAACUUGGAUUUAUAACCACCAGAACCCUUGCCUCUAUAUCCAUUGUUAUGACCAAAAGAUCAAUUCCCUUGCCCAUUGUAAGUAUUCUAUCCUUAACCACCAAAAUUGUUCUGUCCUUGUCCAUUAAACUGAUUUCCAGGAGACUGAAAACCAGAAAAAGAAGAAGAGUUAUUUUGUGAAAAACCUGGAGCUUGAGAGAAGCCCAUAUUAGAUAGUCUAGGAGCAACAAACCCAAAACCUAAAUUUUGGGGAAAUAGAGCAGAAGAAACAGACCCACUUGAGAUUGGAGAAGAUGCAGAAGCAGUAGACACAUCAGGAGAUACAGAUAAACCAGCAUUGGUAUACAUAGCAGCCAUACUAUGAACAAGAGAUUGCAUCCUAGUUUCAAGAUUUGUUCUAUGCCCCUAACAAUUGAGCUCGAAAUUCUUUCAAAGUAAUAGGUGUGUCUUGGGCAAGAAUAACAGUUCGAAUUAUAUCAAACUCAACUGGUAACCCUGUCAAAGUUGCUAUAACAACAUCAUGAUCUGUGAUCUUUUCACCAGCGGCAGUAAGUUUGUCUUUAAUAACCUUCACCGUAACAAGUAUUUAUCCACACUAUCACCACCUUUCUAAAUGGUAUGUAACUCUGCCUUUAAGUGAUUAACACUAGCACUUGAAACAAACAUAUAGAGAUCUUGCAAAGUAGUCCAAGCUUCAUAAGAAGUCUUACACCCAACAUGUUUAAUAACAUCAUCAUUGAGUGUAGCAAUGAGAAGACUAAGCAAAGCCAUAUCUGUCUUAACCCAAGUUUUAUAAGUAGUACUGAUUUCUUGAGUAACCCCCAUCUCAGAAUUAAGCACAUAUUUAGGAGGACACACAGAUUCACCAGUGAAAUGAUCAAAAAGAUCAUAUCCACGAAGCAUAGAGCAAAACUGAAAGUUCCACUUAAUGAAAUUAUCGUCAUUCAAUUUGAUUGUUAACAUCCCUAAAAGGUUUUCAAGCUUCACUGAUUCAGACAUGAUUCCACAACAACAAUUUCAAUCAAGAAUCACAGCCACAAUCCAAGAAGAUAUAAUCAGAAAAAUCACUGACUUAGGCGAAAAACCCAGAUGUAAAAACUCAAAAUUCGAGUCCAAAAAUUCACAAAUUAGAACAAUCAAUUAACAAUACUAGAUGAACAACUGGUUAUUGACCGUAAUUCAUUACAGAAAUCAUGUAAAUUGGCAUCGGCCUUCAAGAAUGCUUCAAUAGUACACAAUCUAAAAUGAUCUAAUCAAUCAAGCUGUCUGGGCAACAACCUUGAAUUCAGAUAAGCUACUACUAUAAUCUUGAACAAAGAAACAAGAUCCAGGAAAAAAAUUCCCAAAAUUUUCAAUUUACUAGAAAACUGAAGACGAGGAGAGAAACCACCAAACCUCAAAGAAGAACACAGCGGAAAUAGAACUUCACCAAGAACCCAUUGCGCAAGCAGACUGGCUCUUUGAUACCAUAUUAACCCUAAGAUCAAUAUUGCAAAAGAAAAAUGAAAAUUAUCAGAAGAAGAAGAUAACUUGUUUUUCUCAAUGAAAGCAAUCAUAAUACAAGAGAGGGAAAAACCCAUUUUAUACAUUCUGUUUACAACCGCUUAGCUUAUACUAUAAGCCUCUAAUGAUGUGGCACAUGAUGAUGUGGCACAAGUGUACAUGUCAUCUAUAUCCAAUACUGAUUAGGCUGGCCAAUUCAAGGGUCGUUAUAACAAGCCAACCAUCGUGCUCGAGGCUGUGGCGUAAGACACAUGGAUUUGGCAUGCAUGCUUCGGAUCUCUUGGAUAAACAACGAUAUCAACGUUCUUUGGUCUUCACCUCUGUUCGAUGAUGUUGUCAAUGGAUGGGCACCAGAAUUUCAGUACAAGGUAAGUAUGAGCUAGGUUAGUACCUAACUGAUGGUAUUUAUCCUAGUUGGUCUACCUUCGUCAAAAGUUUUUCUCAUCAUAAACACCACCAGCUUCCCUUAAAUCGGCGUUGGAGAACGAUUUUACCCUAUAAAACCUUUCUAUUUUGAUUCGUUCCGACGGCACCAUCUUCACUAAUAGAAAUCCAUGCCAAACAUAAAGCAAUAUCUUCGUCAAAGGUCCAAUUACAACCUCUAACAUGCUGUUUUGCCAUCUUGAAAAUUUUGGAAAUGAGAAGAAAUGGUAGAAAGAAAAAUUGGAAGAAUUGUAGGAGAAAGUGAGUUUUGUGUGGAUGUUUGAACAAAUACAUAGGUAUUUAUAGAGUUUUUAGGUGAAUUUUGAGUUAAAUAAUUUUUUUAAAUUAUUUUAGCCGUUAGAUUUAAAUUUGGACCGUUAGAUUUUUUUUUUUACCGUUAGAUUUGAUUAUAUUCGAUCUAAGCCGUUGGAUUCAAUAAUUAUAUAAAUAUAAUUAAAAAAAUUGAACGUGGACCAUUGGAUUAGCCAAAGGCCCUUUUGAAAUUAGUCGUUGGAUCGAAAACAGUAGCCCAACGGCUACUGACAUGAUGUGACAGCCAGGGGACACGCCCACGUGGAUAGGGUCCCGCUGGGCUGGCAUCUAGCGCGUUGGGGCGAGUCGGGUUGGCGUUUGGGCUUCACAGCCCGUGGUACACUCGCAUCGGCUAGGGUCCACUCCAAUUUGUGGCCUAAACUUGGGCCGGUAUUUGGUCCCGAGAUGAGUUUUAGGUUUUAGGUUAGUUUUAGGCCAUGGGUUGGGUUGGAUUUUUGGGGGAGGGGGGAAGGGGAAUUAUAGGUUUUAGCCCAGGGUUAGAGUGGGUUUAAGGAGAAAAAGGUGAAAUAUGCCUCAUAAUAGGCUAGUAAUAAUGUGGUUCAAAUUAGCCUUUGGCAAGUAUCGAACCUAAGACAUCUCACUUACAAGUGAAGAGGAAUACCACUAAACCAUAAUAUUAAUACUAAGUGAUCUUUAGACAAACCCUCAAUCUGGGAAAUCCUUAGAACCUUUGGCCCUUUAGUAUUCUACUUAAGAAUUGGAGUAAAAAAUUACUUUUUCAAAAAACUUGAUAUAAGUCUUAUUUUGUGACUUACUAUUAGAUUGUGUCCACUUUGUUGAGUUAGGUUUCUUAACUGAUUAUCCAGACUAACUUUUAUUUACCAUUUUAUCAAAUUGUGAAAUGUUAUUCCUUAUUUAUAACUUUAUCUUUUACUCAAUUUCAAGAUUAAAUAUUUUUUCUACUUUUUGCUACUCCUGAUUCAUAUUUCAAUUUGUUCUUCUACCUUAAAUGUGUUAACUACCUCAACUAUGAGUCGAACCACAAUUUCAUACCUCAUUUUUUAAAUAUUGCAAUGUCAUACCUCAACUUACGAAUUCAUUGCAAUGUUAGACCUCCGUUAAAAAAUUUGUCAAUUGGUCUGUUAAUUGUUGAUAUGGCAGAUAGAAGAUCGAUCCACCAACUACAUUAAAAAAUUAAUUAAAUAUUUAAAAAGUUAAAAUUCUCUCCCAAUUCAAUUCUCUCUCUCCCUUCUCCCAAUCCAUUCCAGGCAUCAUCUCUUUUCCCAAAACCAUCAUUUCAUUCCUUCUCCUCCUCCAUCCCCACCUCCAUCCCAUGCUCUCCUCCCUUCCUCAUCCACCACACUCCACUCUAAUCUUUGCCGCCUCCACCACAUUCCCUUCCACUUCAGUGUACGAAUCAGACACCGUCGAAGCCGACUGUGUUAUUAAACCCAAACUGGAUGACGAGGACAAUGACUCCGAUUGUGUUGUAAUUAAGAAUGAAUUAGAAGACAUCGACGCCAACAAAAAAAAAUUCUCCGUCAAAGGUUAGUUUCCGUUGCCAUGAUUCUCUGGUUCUUGUCUUUCGCUCGAAUGGAGUUCCAUACCAUCCAAAAUCGGUGAAACUAAAAUUCAAUAGGAAAACUCAUUUUCUUGAACAACCAGUAUCUGUUAAAGUCCCACAUCAGUGGUGGGAAAGGAAACUAAGGGGUUUAAAUAUGAUUACUCCACUCUAACUAAUAUUGAGGCAUUUUGUGGUAAAACCCCACACUUGACGGAUUGGACAAGUGGUAAAGUUAGGGAUAGUAUCGGUGUCAUUAGAGUGGGGCGGCCCGACAAUCUAAAAAUUCUAACAUGGUAUCUAGAGCACAGGUUCGAAUCUGAAUCUAAGCGUUGUGAAUUCGCGAAGCAGAGAAAAGGGAAAAUCAACAAAAUACCCUAAUCUCUGAAGGUUCAGUCUCAGAUGGCCGAAGGAGGUGGUGGUGAGCUACGAGCUCCCAUUUUCAAUAGAAGUAACUACGAUUUCUGGAUGAUCAAGCUGCGUACGAUCUUCAUCUCGCAGGAUCUCUGGAAACUAGUUGAAAAAGGGUAUGUAGGACCUGAGAUGGAUGAGAAGGUUGAGAAUGACCUUACAACAGCUAAAAAACUAGCAUUAAAGGACAACGUCACUAAAGAUGCAAAAGCACUGGGACUAAUUCAAAAUGCAGUCUCGGAUGAUAUUUUUCCUCACAUAGCUCAACAGGUAACCUCCAAAGCUGUUUAGGAUAUUCUAAAAUCAAAAUUCAUUGGUGAUAAGAAAGUAAGAUCUGUGAAAUUGCAAUGGCUUAUGAUGGAUUUUGAACAUCUUAGAAUGAAGAAUGAUGAAUCUUUAUCUAUGUAUGUAUCUAAACUGUUUGAGCUUGUAAAUCAAAUGAGGUCAUAUGGGGAAGAACUUUUUAAUCAAAGAACUGUGCAAAAGCUUUUGAUUAGUAUACCUAGGAGUUAUGACUCGAUUGCAGAACUUAUAGAGGAAACCAAAGAUACAGAUACAAUUGGUGUGCAAGAUGUUAUGGGUUCCUUGAAGUCACAUGAACAAAGACUACAAAGGCAUGCUGACUAUGGUUCAGAGAAGGCUUUUUCAUCCCUGAGUAUCAAUCCUAAAGAAGGAUCAAGUUCCUCAUAUGGGGGUAGCUCAAAAUUCAAGAACAACUGGAAAAACAAGGGCAAGAAAAUGGAUGUAAAACCUGCAAAUGUCGCAAAGAAAGAUAAUCAAGGUGAAGGAACAAAGACUUCAUGUGUUCACUGCAACAAAUUGCAUUAUGGAACCUGUUGGUUUAAGGAAAAACCCAAGUGCCAUAAAUGUGACAGAUUUGGUCACUUGGCAAAUGACUACAAAAGCAAAAUUGUCAUGCAGCAAAUUACGCAAAUGAAGUAGAGGAAGAGGGAACUAUGUUUUGUGCAUGUCACUCAACCUCUGUGGUGAAAAAUUCUAGUGUAUGGUAUAUGGAUAGUGCAUGUAACAAUCAUAUGACUGGCCAUGAAUCCCUCUUGAUUGAAGUGAACAGAACGUGAUAGCCGAAGUUAAAAUGGGUACUGGUGACCUAGUUCAAGCUGUUGGAAAGGGAACAUUGGUUAUUGAUACCAUACAAGGAAAAAGAUACAUAAAAAAGGUCAUGCUAGUGCCAGGACUAGAUGAAAACCUCUUAAGUGUAGGCCAAAUGGUUGAACAUGGGUACUUCUUGGUAUUUGGGGAUUAUAUAAUGUAUAUCUUUGAUGACAGAACCUUUGAGAACCUAUUGGCAAAGGUGCAAAUGACUAGCAAUAAGUGUUUCCCUAUGACACUUGAAUAUGGAAAUGAAGUAGCUAAAAGAGCAACUGUUGAAUAAACCACCUAGAACUGGCAUAUGAGAUUUGGGCAUCUAGAUUUCCAAAGUCUAAAAUCUCUGCAACAAAAGGAAAUGGUUUAUGGGCUACAUGAGAUAAAAGAUACAUCCAAAGUCUGUGAAGGGUGUGUUAUGGGUAAAGCUCACAGAGAGGCAUUUGACAAAGAGAAAGCAUGGAGAGCCAUUGUACCUCUAGAAUUGAUCCAUACUGAUGCAUGUGGACCAAUGCAAGUCUCUACCAUAUCAGGGAACAAAUACUUCCUAACCUUUAUUGAUGAUUGCACCAGGAUGUGCUGGGUAUACUCGAUGAAUCUGAAAUAUGAAGUUUUCAAUAUCUUGAAGAAGUUUAAAGCCAUGGUAAAACUACAAAGUGGAUUCAAAAUCUAGAAGUUGAGGAGUGAUAAAUGGGGAUAAUACACCUCCACUAAGUUUUUGAAAUUUUGUGAAGAUGUUGGUUUGGAAAGACAACUCACAAUUGCAUAUUCCCUUCAACAAAAUGGAGUGGCUGAGAGGAAUAAUAAGACAAUUGUUGGGAUAACAAAGGCUAUGAUUCAUGAGAAACAUUUACCAUAUAAUUUCUGAGGUGAAGCAGUAACAACUGCAGUCUACAUUCUUAAUUAAUGUCCUACCAGAUCACUUCAUAAAGUAACACCUUUUGAAGCCUUUAGUGGCAGGAAGCCAGGAGUCAAGCACUUGAGGGUCUUUGGUUCUAUAUGCUACUAUCACGUGCCAAGUCAAUUGAGGCACAAAUUGGAGGAAUCUGCAACUAAGGGAAUCUUCAUUAGGUAUGGGAAAUGUGAGAAAGGGUAUAGAGUGUAUGACCUGCAUUCCAAGAAAGUAAUAUUGUCUAGGAGUGUCAUUUUUUAUGAGAACUCAGCUUGGAAUGGGGAAACACAAAGGGAAAUGCCUAUUUCAGUUCCACUGAAUGUUGAGAUCAAUGAUAGAAUCACUGAGCAAGUGGAAUUAACACCUACUUCAGAUCAAAUGCAAAGUGAGGACACUAUUGGAACACAAGAUUCAGCUCAGGGGUCCAGAAUUCAUCAACUCCUACCUCUACACCGGUUAGGCUAAGAAGCUUGACUAAUAUACAUGCAAGGUGCAACAUAUGCAUCAUAGAACCAGAAAAUUAUCAAGAAGCUGCAAAAGAUAAAGCAUGGCAGGCAACUAUGGAUAAUGAGAUCUCCAUGAUAGAAAAAAAAAUGAAAUUUGGGAGUUGGUAGAUAGACCUACAUCCAAGCCGGUCAUUAGAGUUAAAUGGGUAUAUAAAACCAAACUCAAUCUUAAUGGUUCUAUACAAAAACACAAGGCAAGACUAGUUGCUAAGGGAUAUUCUCAAAAGCCCGAAGUGGAUUUCAAUGAGACUUACGCUUCUGUAGCAAGGAUGAAUACUAUCAGGACGCUAAUAGCUCUUGUAGCCCAAAAAGAUUGGAGAUUGUUCCAACUUGUUGUGAAAUCUGCCUUCUUAAAUGGAACUCUACAUAAUGAGGUCUAUGUAGACCAACCUGAAGGUUUUGUAAUUCAGAAUGCAAAAGAAAAGGUUUAUAAGUUAAGGAAGGCAUUAUAUGGCCUGAAACAGUCACCAAGGGCCUGUUAUGAAGAAAUUGAUGCAUACCUCAUCUUAUGUGGAUUUGAGAGGAGCCCCAGUGAACCUAUAUUUUAUGUUAAGGUAAGAAAUGGUAUUGAAACUAUAAUCAUCUCAAUCUAUGUGGAUGAUAUAGUUUACACAAGCAGCAGUGAAGAAUUGAUGUUAGAAUUCAAGUUUGAUAUGAUGAACAUGUAUGAAAUGACAGAUUUGGACUGCUGCACCAUUUUCUUGGCAUGGGGAUUCUGCAAAGUGAAAAAGGGAUCUUCAUUGGGCAAAAGAAAUAUGCUCUGUCUCUGCUAGACAAGUUUGGUCUGCUAGACUAGUUUACACUAGCUUGUUGAUAUUUUCACUAACGCUCUUCCUAAAGCUCGUUUUUGUUCUCAGAGAUUUCCUUAGUGUGAAAUCAGUAAACAACUUAAGAGGGAAUGUUGAUAGUUAAGUUGUUUUCAUUUCCUUAACUGUCUUUGUAUUGUCUUAUAUAUAUGACAAGUGUAGGGUCUGGAUCCAUGUACUUUUGUAGGUCUUAUAUGUCCUUGUAAUAGCCAUGUGUCAUCAUCAUAUUGAUGACGUACUAUGUAAGGUUAAGAUUGGAUUUAGUGCCUAAAGGAAUGAAAAAGGAAUGUUGGUUUAUGCUCUGCAAUGAAUAAAGCAGCCGCAAUCAUCAAUAUAAACAGAAAGCUUUCCUUUUCCAGAGAGCUCCAAGUUUUCCUCUCUCUUUUUCAUACUUCAAAACUAAAAUAAAAAAUUAAACAUUUAAUCCAUAAACUUCAUUGUAAUGAUCCAAAAUUUUUAUUUGGAAGCUAAAUUCGGUGAUAGGCCAAAAUAAAGUCAUGGUUAAUCUCUACGCUAUUAACCAUUAUAAAUUUCUUUCCUUAAAGAAAUCAAGUACAAUAAUAAAUUUGGGUUAUUUUACGGCUGCAUCUAACCUUCGCAUUAGACUGCCUACGUACCCUAUGAAGGAUCAAGCCAUUCGUAGUUCACAAAUUCAAUUUCUAACUCAUUUCCAAAAUCAACCAAAUGCCAUGGCCGUUCAAUAAUUUAGGGAAAAUCGAUCAUCAAUAUUGGGGAACUACUUGAGCAUAACAUAUUAAGGGAAGUGAAUUUGGAUACCCUAGGUCUCAUUUUCUUAUGUUUCAAGUAAUUCACACCAAUUUCAUAUCAAAUAUAGAUUCAAAAUAUCAAAAUUAGCUUAGAAAGGCAGCGUUAGCUCACUGUCCACGCGGCGCCGCGCGUGGCUGUUUCCUGCGAACGGAAACUCCAAAUUCCGACGAACUUAAAAAAUUACCAAAUUUUACAGGGUUGUAGAGUUCAAUGAGAAGAACAACUUUCAUACCGGGCCGAAGUCCAAUUCGGCUGAGAAGUGGCCGGAAACCCCUCAAAUUGCCUGAACCCUCAAUUUGGGUAGUUGUCGAUUCGCCACCAAAACGAACUCUGACGCCUCAUCCAAGGCUUGGGCCUUGUCCCUGGGGUUGAGAGGAGUCUUUUGGUGAUGGUCAUCGACGACAAUCGUUGUCGGAUUCUCUGAAAAAAGGAUAAAACCACUUGGACACCCGUGGGUUUUGUGGCUUUGAUUUGUGAAUUUGGGUUAGAAAUCUAGAAAUAUAAUACACAAAGACAUUGGGCUCGACGAGAGCUUUCCAUAGACAUGAUGCGAAAUAUAUAAGCACACAAAUUAAACCCUCUUGUUGACAAUUGUAGUAUAUAUGUAAGUAGGGAUCAUUCUAGGCCGGGGAUUAGGAGGGAUUGCUAAAACACUUGAAACUAACUUGAAAACGUAAAACUAAGUUUGGAACACUAAACUAGAUUCAAAGAAUGCAAAACUAGACUCUAAUACACUAAAACAACUCAAAUGACUCAAAACAGCACAAAACAAGCUAAUUGACUCAAAACAAACACUAAGAGUGAAUUUGGACGAAAAUUGGUUUUACCUUGACUCAAAACACUUAAAAACACAAACUAAAAUAGUUUCUAACUAAUAUGACUCAACAAAGUAAAGGGGGAUUUGGUUUUGACGAAUUUGAAAGUAAAACAAACAGACUGUAAACUAAAACAAAGUUUGGAUGAAAUUGGGUAAAUUGGAUGGAUGGUGGGCUAGCUAGAGGGUUCUUCUCCACACAUGAUACACUUGCAUACAAAUCGAUUUCCAGUUGUUUCUUUCAAUAAACCAUAAAUCUCAACACCCCAGAUUAAGUAGGUACGCUUAAAUUAACCCUCAGAUUUUCCUUAUGUCAUUGAAUUGGACGGAAAUAGCUCAUCGCAAUCAAAUUAUUCUUCAAAAGUUCCCUACAUGAAAGCGCAUAAUAGAGAUACAAUCAAAGGUCAUUAAGUUAUAUGAAAAUCAUAAGUAUUGACAAGGCAUUCGUAACUAUGAAAUCGCAUGAUACUUAUGCUAGGAAUUUACUUAACACGAUUGUGACUAGCAACCUCCACUACUUAUGAAUAUAAAUUCAUAACGAUUAGGUGAAACUCCCUUAUAUCCAAGCAUCAGAUUUAUGCAUGAAAAUUAAGUGUGCACUCUCAACCCACAUACACAAACAAGUUUUAAUUCAAACAGAUAAGUAAAUUGAAUUCACAAUUUAUGAAAUUACAAUUGGAUGUAAUCAAAUCAUAUUGCAAGUAUAGUCAUGGUUUCAAAAUUCCCCCUAGCUAAGAGGGGUUUAGUUCCUCAUACUCGCAAAACAAAGAUUAUUGAACUUAAACAUUGAAAACAAAAGAAAGAUUACACCUAAAAACAUUCCAGCAACUCUAACUUGAAUGGCAAGCACGUCCAAGGGCUCUCAUUCUUCUUCUUUGCUACGGCACAAGGUAUGGUUGAUGAUUUUUAUGGUGAAUUGUGGUGGUGGAUGAGUGAUGGGUGAUGAGAGUGUAUGGGUGCAGCAGAGAAUGAAUGAAUUCGUAGAACUGUAUGAAGGGUGCGGCUGGAUGUGUGUAUUGGAGAAUGGAUGGGAAGAAUGAUGUAUUUUUGUGCGGCAAAGGGAAGUAUUUAAGGUUUUAGGAAAUCAAAACCCUAACUUAUUUAGGUUAACAGAAAUUAAGUUAAAACUACUAGAAAAAGGAAAACAAAAUCAGAAAUCAAAGGAAAGAGUAAGGAGAUAUGCGGCAAGGCUUUUAGUUAAAAAGGGAAUGUGAUUUGGUGCAGGAAAUAGGAAAGAAAGGCUCACCCUUGCACGACAAGGAAGAGAAAGGGACAAAGGAGGUGCGGCAAGGGGUUUAGGACUUCUAGAAGUUCUUAUUUAGUGUCUUAAUAUGAUUAGGAGUCUUCUUUGUUGCUGGAACUUAGGGACUUUUAGGUUUAGGGAAGGUUAAAACCAAAGUAGGAAACCUUAGCUUAACAUUCUUUCUUUUUGUAGGAAUCCUUGUGUAAGUAGGAAUCCUCAUUCUUCUAGGAAUCCAUCUUCAAUUAGGAAUCCUAGCACCUUUAGGUCUUCAAUUUCGUCCAUCUCCCUUGCUCCAAGCAUGUGAUAUCCAUUCCAAGCCCAAAACUGCUCCAAAAUGCUCUAAAAUGCACUUUCUUGCCUCCUUAGCCUUUUGGACCUACAAAUACAUGAAAAUAGCUUAAAAUACUAAAAUAACUAAGAACUAACAACAUAAAUGCAAGAAAACAAGCUAACUAAGUCGCCUAAAUAUGCUCCUAUCAAGACACCUGAACCACCUCGAACGGAGGUCGGACGGAGAAGAUAAGACCGGGUCAAGGAACUAGGUCGGGUUGGUUGCACGGAUCUAAAAGGAUUCGUUGCUCCCUCACCUCCCUCUUUUCUCUCCCUUCUUUCUCUACGCAUUGGUCCUCUCCCCUCCUCCUUUUCUCUCCUGCAUCCCUCAUUUUCCCUCUCUCUUACUGCCACCUGGCAACUUCCAACCCCAUUUCUUUUAUUUUUUUUUUCCAAUAACGAAAACAUCUCUAAUUUCUUCGUUUCACGAACGGUUUCGCCUACACACUCGUAGGAUCGAACUCCAUCCAUAUAUGUCAAUAAAUAUAAUAAAAUAUACGAAGAUAAAAUACAUCCUCAUAAAAUUACGUUUAAUAUACGAGGGGCAUUUCCACUUAUUGAUAAAUUUUCUACAUUUUCAUAUAUUUUAAAUUUUCUAGGGUAUUACAUUCAUCAUGGUAUCAGAGCCCACGGUUGCGGGCCCGUGCAAGCCAACGAGCUUGUGUGCAAGCCAAUGAGCUUGUCACCACCGGGAAGGAAACAAGUCUGAGCUCUUAAUAUAGAGACGACCGUUGAGUUCCAAUUGAAAACAAGUGGGCCUAACAUGAGUUGACCUCUGAGUUUCAAUUACCGAUGUGGAUCUCCACAUGUGAACCACUAAAUGAGGUUACACGUGAGGGGGAGUGUUAAAGUCCCACAUCGGUGGUGGGAAAGAAAACCAAGGGGUUUAAAUAUGAUUACCCCACUCUAACUAUUAUCAAGGUGUUUGUGGUAAAACCCCACACCUGAUGGAUUGGGCAUGUGGUAAAGUUGGGGACGGUAUCAGUGUCGUUAAAGUUGGCAAUUCAAAAAUUCUAAAAGUAUCAUUAGCUACCAUGCAUAUACCUCCUUAAUCCACAGCCUUUUUGUGAAUUGAGAAAUUUUUGAUAAACCCUAGAAAAUAAAACCAGGAAUACAGUUAGAGAAUAAAAAAAAUACACAAAAAUGCAAUAGACAAUUGAAUAAUUAAAGAUGGAGGAGGAACCAUCGCAAAGAAAUUUUGUAAAUCCCAUUUUUCCUAUUUCAAACCGGUCGUCGACACCAGCGGUGUCUGAUCUGUGCACUGAAGUGGAAGAGAAAGUGGUGGAGGCAGCAGAGAUUAGGGUGGAGUGUGGUGGAGGAGGAGGGGGAGGAGAGCAUGAGAGGGAUCCCCACCAGAGACGAAUCUACAGAGGGACCUGGAAGGUCCCAGAACCCUCGGCGAUCCCAAAAUGCUGCUUGAAAAUUUUUAGAGGACCAAUCGUACUCGAAUAUGAGGUCUAUGCAGACAGAGCUGCAGGUUACAACUUGCAACGGAGAAGAAAGAAAACAGGGCUUUUUAAAAAAAUUGGUCCAAAAUGCAGGCCAAUUUGUUUUUUUUUUUUAAGCCUACGUUUGUCUCCACCGUUUACAACAUGAUUCCAUAUUCUUUUUUAAGGCCUAGCCCCACAUGGGCCAUCUUUCCAAUCCCGAGAGUCCCUUUCGCUUUUCCUUUCCCCGUUCCUCUGCUUUUCCCCCUAAUCCCCCAUCUUUCUUAUAUUCACCCAAACCUCUAAAUUUCUAAUCCCACCCAAUCCCAUAUUAUAAUUACAUUACUCCAAUAUCAUACCUCCACUUGUUUGUUUCAAUUCUCCAAGCCACCACUGUUUGGUUCCAAAUUUAAGUACGUUUUUUAGUAUUCUAAUCUAAUCUCAAUUAAAUUAUAUUAGAUAUUGGUGGAGAUUUUUAGUCUAUUAUUGAUAUGAUUGUAGAUAUGUUUUAUGUUUGUAUACUCAUUUUAUCAUUGAAAUUUAGAUGGAAUUUUUGUUUAUUGGUUGAUUGGUAUAUGUUUUGUGUUUUUGGUUAAAUGUGUAGUUUAGAAAUAAGAAAUAUGGAAAGAUUUUUCAAGCCAAAGGCAAUAGCACCAUCUACUUGUUCGAGUAUUUCGAGUUCAAGACAAAAUGAGUGUGACAUUGAUUUUAAUAAUCUUGAGAGAGACCCGGGAAAAAGAAUUCGAAUGAAGGAUUAUCCUUCUAAUAUUCAAGAUGAGAUCCGAAGAGCAUAUUUGCAAAUGGGACCUUGUAGGCCUACAAAGUAUGAGUUCCCAUACACUUUGCAUGCAAAGAAAAAGCGACUAUUUGUUGUUUCGUGGUUUGAAGAAUAUGAUUGGUUGGAGUGUGGUAUAUCUAAAGAUGCGGCAUUUUGUCUUCAUUGCUAUCUCUUUAAAAUCAACUUUUCACAAUUAGGAAGCGAUGCCUUCACUGGGGUAGGCUUUAAGAAAUGGAAGAAUGCAAGAAAAUGUUUUGACAAACUUGUUGGUCCUAUUGGUAAUUUCCACAAUAAAGCUAGAGAAGCAGCUAGUUAUCAAAUGAACCAAAAGGCACAUAUUGAAGCAGUUGUGAUCAAGCAGUCAGAAGAAGAGUGUAUGAAAUAUCAUCUUUGCUUGAAUCCAUCAAUAGAUUGCACUAAGUUCUUGUUGCGACAAGGCCUUCCUUUUCGUGGCCACGAUAAAAGUGACACUUCAAAUAAUAGGGGGAAUUAUUUAGAGCUCUUGCAAUUCCUUGUGGAUCAUGAUGAGAAAAUAAAGGAAGUUGUGUUGAAAAAUGCUCCGAGAAAUCUCAAGCUAAUAGCUCCUUCAAUUCAAAAAGAUAUUGUCAACUCAUGUGCCUUCGAAACUAUUAAGGCUAUUAUGAAAGAAGGGAAAGAGAGUAAAUUCUUUUCUAUAAUGGUAGAUGAAUCACGUGAUAUUUCAACAAAGGAGCAAAUGGCGGUGAUUUUGCGUUAUGUGGACAACAAAGGUCAAGUAAUUGAAAGGUUCGUAGGAGUCCAACAUGUUACUGAAACAACUUUAAGUAAACUAAAGGAGUCCAUUGAUGAGUUCUUGAAACUACAUGAUUUGAGCUACUCCAACCUACGAGGUCAAGGUAAUGAUGGGGCAAGGAAUAUGAGAGGUGAGUUCAAUGGCCUUAAAAAAAAAUUAGAUGAAGAAAGUUGUGCAUUCUAUGUUCAUUAUUUUGCUCAUCAACUACAAUUAGCUCUUGUUACCGUAGCAAAGAAAAAGUCAUGCAAGCGUUGUGAUGCACUUAGAGAGAAACAACAAGAAAAUCUCAUUAAAGCUAUUGAAAAUGAUUGUCCUGAAACGGGGCAAGGGUUAAAUCAAGAAACUAGUCUCAAACGUGAUGAGGAUACACGGUAGAAUUCACAUUAUGGUGCUUAGAUUAGUUUGAUUACAAUGUUCUCAUAUGUGGUGGACGUGCUUGACAUGAUUGUUAAAGAUUGCUACAAUGAUAGUGCUGGUGAAGCAAAAAGGUUAUUAAAAGAUUUACAAUCUUUUGAGUUUGUAUUCCUCCUCUUUUUUAUGAAAUCCAUAUUAGGAGUUACAAACGAUUUGUCACAAGCAUUGCAAAAAAAAAAAAAAUCAAGAGAUUGUGAAUGCAAUAGCUUUAGUCCAGACAUGUAAAGAACAACCAUGUUGCAUGAGAAAUGAUGAAAAAUUUGAUCUUUUGGUUGAUAAAGUAUCAUCUUUUUGUGUUGAACAUGAAAUUGAGGCGCCUAAUAUGGAUGAUUUAUAUGUCAUUCAAGGGAAAUCAUUGCGUAAGGCUCCAAGAAAGACCAACCAUCAUCAUUACAAAGUGGAGCUCUUUUUUGAGGUCAUUGAUUUCCAACUUAUAGAAUUAGAUGAUCGCUUCGCUGAAGGUAAUAUCGAAUUGCUUAUUUGCUUGGCAUGUUGAGUCCAAAUGAUUCAUUUGUAGCUUUUGAUAAAGAGAAGCUUGUUCGCCUUGCUCAUAUGUAUCCUAAAGAUUUCACGGAUCGAGAUAGAUUGGCACUUCAAGAUCAACUUGAUAUUUACAUUCAUUUUGUGCAUUCUGAUAAUGAUUUUUCUCAAUUUUGAGGGAUUAAUGAGCUUGCUAAGAAAAUGGUGGAGACAGGGUUGCAUCAAAUAUUUGCAUAUGUAUAUUUGCUUGUUCAGUUGGCUUUGGUUUUACCGGUUGCAACUGCUUCAGUAGAGAGGGCAUUUUCCGCUAUGAAUAUCAUUAAGGGUCCACUUCACAACAAAAUGGGAGAUCAAUGGUUGAGUGACAUCUUAGUUGUUUACAUUGAGAAAGAUGUUUUUUCAUGUAUUGGUAAUGAAGCUAUCAUGGAACAUUUUCAGACUAUGAAACCUCGUCAUAGACGCUUGAAUUAGGAUUUUAUAGCUUGUAAUGUUGUUUUGCACAUGAUUUUUGAAUGAAAUGUAUUAUAUCUAACUUUUCAAUGUUCUUUUUAUCUAUAAAUUUUUUGACCUUUAUUAUUGGGACCCCCCGAGUUUAAAAUCAUGGAUCCGCUGAUCCCCACAUCAUAUUCAUUCAUCAGACAUUGUACAGUCAAUUUUUGUCAGAUACUAUUUGUGUUUAAUUUUAAAUAAAAAAAUCAAAUGAAUUAUGAUCGCAUAAUACACAAUGAAUGGCUAAGAUGUGGGGAUCCUAGUGAAUCUGAAUAGGAUCAAAUUUUCUCAAUAGAGUACCAAACUGGCCUUUGGGCUCCUUAGGCCAAUUUUGACCUAUUAAAAUAUUUUUUAUUUAUUUAUUUAUUUUUCAAUGGUGGUGGCAUUCGAGCACCCUGCUCGAUAAGUUCGAACACCAUUCGAAAUGGUGGAAUGGGCGAACAUUACUCGAUGCUAAAUUGCACUUCUAGGACUAAAAAAGAAUGGCCAAAGAAUUGUCUUUAAAGUUUUCAAAAAAAAAAAAAAAAAAAAAAAAAACAAGAAGAAAGAAUUGUCUUUAAAUGCUGUGUUCUUAUGCGUACAUGAUGAAGGUAAACUUGGGAUAUUUUUGGACUUGUUUCCAGGUUCCUUAGUAUGUCAUUAGUAGAAACUAUUGUAAUGGUUAAUGUACCAAAUAAUACUUUGUGGUUCCUAGUAAUUGAAUUGUUAGUUGUGAUGCAUUUAAACUAAUGUCAUUAGUAGAAACGAGCUUUCAAUGACUUGAGCUAUGAAACCCCUGUUGCAAUGUGAUUUAGUAGUAAUGCUAGAAUUAAUGUUCCAAUAAAAGGCUAUAUUUAACUUGGAACCCUUUGAAUAUUGUCUUACAAGAGCAUCUUCAAUGAAUAGAUACAAAUUUGUGAUGCGAAAAUCAUAUUAAAUUUCACUUUACAUCUUCGGACGAUGUAAAUAUGAGUUGUACGCAAAUGGGAGAAUGUAAGUUGGGAUCUAAACUUUCUCUCUUUGAUUGACAUAUCCCACCUCCCAAAGAAGUAAAAAAAUAUAGGGCAAUUAGCUGGAAUGAUCAGUUUUUGACAUUUGGUUGUAGAUUUGAUCAAUUUUAUCCAUGUCAUCAUUAUAUUAUCAUUGUGUGGUCAUUAUGUCAUUGAUAUAUGACCAAUAUGUCAUCAUUACUAAAAACUGGUCAUUCCAGCUAAUUGCCCAAAAAUAUAUGUAAAUAUAUAUUUUUGUUCACAUCUUUCAGCGAAGAUGGAUUAUAUUCGCCUUUAUAGAACUUUCAGGAUAAAGAAAAUGUAAAAUCCUCAAGACACCUUAAAUCUUCCAUUUCAGGGCAUUUUACAUUUUAAAUUCUUGUGUAGAUUUCUUUGGGAAAUUGGCCAAUUAUGCUCAUUUUUCAAAUCUCAACUGCUAAAAUGAUCAGUUUUUCAGUAUGUCAUCAAUAUUUGAUGGUUAUAUUAUUAAUUUUUAUGGCUAUAUUAUUGGUAUUUGAUUGAUUUUUCCUCAGAAUUUGAUUUGAUCAGUUUAACAAUUGGAAUUUGAUUAUAUCAUACCGACUUGAUGAAUGUCUCCCUUUCAAAUUGAAAGCCGUGCUCUUGGCCAGCUAGCCCUCUACACCAAAAUUGGAACGAGUCCUCACAACUAUUCAACGAACAAGUCCAAAGAUGGGGAUGUUGGUUUAUGACAAGAAGGCCAAAAGCUGUCUUUUUCUUUGAUGAUCUAUAUAAUUGUGAGAGUUCGUUAUGCUUAUGCAUCAUCACUUGAUCGAUUUAGAUAAACAUCUAACUGAAACCACAAAACACCAAUCAGUCAUUCUCUCACUCGAACCCUUCGUCUAUCGAACAAUUAAUGCACCCAGCGGCAACUAAAACUACAACACAUUCAUUUCAUCCACCUGCCUUCUCUCAAAUAUUCAAUCAUGUCAAUGCAUUGUAUUGCAGCCAGAAGAAUCGAUCAGCCAUCUUUUUCUCAACCCUAGAAACUUAUACGAGAGGAUAACCCUUGCGCGCGGACGUGACAGUGGUGUAUCACCUAUCAUUGUCUCUUGGAAACUAAAAUAAAUAAGGCAAGGGACCAGUAAUACAAGCGGCAUUAGUUUUUUGCAUCUUUACAUUUGAGUUAUUCCGAUUGAUGCGUGAAUUUAUCAUGCGUUUACUGACACAUACAAAUUCAAAAGUAUGUAAGUUCCGCAUUUCCGUAAUCCAGUACCUGAAAAAUCAAGAUCGAAUUAGGCUGAUUAGGAGUUGUAGUUGAUCUCAUACCCUAACCUUCUCUCCACUAUUCGUGACUUCUCCGAUUCACGACUCUCCAUAUUAAGUAAGUAAACGUUUAAUUAGUUAUAAGAAAGUAAAACGAGCUUAAUCACCAUUAUCCAUCACACAAGAAAAAAACAGAUUUCAUACUACCACCAUAUAAUUAGGCCCUACUACAGCUAGAACAAUUUAGUACCAGUGAAAUGAUACAAGGUUAUUAUUGAUCCACUUCAAUCUCAGGUUGUGGAAUUGAAAUUUCAUGCAUGGUGGAUACUGGAGAGUUUGCUUGGCUAGCAAGUAACACUGCAAGAGUAUGACUGGGUUAUUAAGAGAAUUAAUUUUUCUGCUGGUUGGUGUCAGAGUGUGUAUGUGUGUAUGUGUGUAUGCCGUGGGUGAGAGGUCAUGUGCUGUUUUCGAAUUUAUUGAGAAUACCUAAUAUGAAGAAACCACAAGCCAAAUCCACUGUAACUGUACCUCUGGGCAUCCUUUUUUGAAAGGCAUCCUUUUUUGAAAUUUUAAUUUCUCCUUCAUACGAUUACAGGAAAAGAAAAAAAAAGUUUUAACAAAAAGCCCACGGUACUGUUCACUUUAACGAAAAACCACAUUUUAACACUAAAAAGUCAAACCUAGUACUAUUCAUUUUACCCUUUAUUUUGUCCUUAUUGUUAAAACUCAAAGUUUUCAAGCCAUUUUCAUUAGUUUUCCUAAAAAAUUAAGCAAAAUAAUUGAAUCACUCCAUAUUUAAUCUAAAAUUUUUAUUCUAUCCAAUUUUUAAUGUGGUGUGGUAUAUAGGCAAUAAUCAAAUUGAGAUGUUUGAACAUUUGAAAUGAAGACAUAGGAGUGGCUGCAAACGAAGACCUAAGAAUGGCCGAAUUGAAGAUAAGAUAAGUGCAAAUCGGUUAAAGUGGUUUGGAGCCUCCAAUUAAAUUUAUUCUUGAGUCAACCUUCUCAGUCUUUAUUUGCUCAUGGCUCUUGAUUUUUUGUUCCAUGCACAGAUUUGUCAUGUGAAAUAAAGACAUACAGAUGCGCUGGUUAGAAAAUGAGAUUAAGAGAUAGAGACUCAGGGCAUAAGGGUAGAGGAAUACCUAGGAAGACAUUGGAAAAAAAACUUUAAGGAAAGAUAUGAAGUACUUGGAGCCAGGAGCAGAUCCACUAUUGGACCUGGGUAGUCCUAGGACCAUUUGGACGUCCGAAGAAGCGCCUCUGGAAACCUCUAAGGACCACCCAAUGGUCUGGACAUGUGGUAGAAGAGAGAAGACCACCAUGGCUUUGUUCUUGGACCUUGGUUACAACAAACAAGAUGGACUUUUCCUCUCCAUUUCCUACGUGACGAAUUCUCAUUUUUUUUAAUUGUUGUCCAAUCAGGUUGUGCCACCCUAGCAUUUUAAUUAGCAAAGGGAUGAUGUAUUAAUCAACCAAUAUAUUUAAACCAUAUGUUUGACACCGUUAUUUUUUUUUUAAUUCCCUGUAAAUUCAUACGACCCCUGAAAAGUAUUUCGUAGAGUAUUAUGAACUCGUAGUCGCUUACACUGGCAUCUCAUACAAUCAAAUUCACUAAAAUACUAAAACAAAAAUUAUGAUAUUUUUGUAUGUUGUAUGUUGAAUAAUAAACCUCGAAUUUGCUUAGCCCACCUAUGCAUUUGCCUAGACCCCGUCUAGGUGUAUAGGCACCCCAAUCCGCUGUCGGACUAGCACCUAACAUCCCUUGAUUAGGACCACCCGAAGUUAUAAUCAUGGAUCAGCCACUGCUUGGAACUAAAGAAAAACUAAAUGCAAAACUGAGUGCAAUGAUGUUCUAGGAUUUGUACAACCAACCAUACUUAGUAGGAUAAAAAUUUGUUGUUGUUGUUGACCAAGCUGACACGUACAAUCGAUGAAGAGGUCAAGUCUAUUUUAUAUAGAUGAAAACAAUAAAUUUAUACCAACCCAAAUAGUUAUCGAGACCAAAAGUAGAUGUUUAUGUACCAAAUAAGAUGAUUUUUGUCACCUAAUCUGAAAAUUUUGGAGAUUAAACUUAAAUAUACUGAAUGCCAAGUGAAAGACAAAGCUGCCUCUUAUAGGUCAUGUAUACACAGAUCAAAUCGUUCCGUUGUGUGUGUGGGUGUUUUUAAGCUUAACUGGGGGAUGUUGUAAAAUAAUUUGGGAUCUAAGCUAACCAGAAGUACGUAGUUAAUCUUAUGUGCCAAUGAUCUUCAGAAUUCUAGUGCAGACCGGUAAUCCAUCAGGAUCGAUGCAGAUUGGUGAAAGAAUUCUAUAGAGAAGGAGAUUGCAGAAUGAUGACAGAGAAUUUCGCCUCUAAUCGCAGAGUUAAUUUGGUUUAGUACGAUUCCCACCAGAGGAGAGCUUGUAAAAAUCAGUUAGACCACCUCAAAUUAGACAUAAACAACGGGUUAAUACAAUAGAUAACACAUACCUUAUAUUACAACCCUUAUUUUGAUUCCAUUAAUAGCAAAAGUACACAGUAAUACACUGCUGAAUACAGAUAGACAGUACUUAAAUAAGGGAUACUACUAAAAAGCAAUUAAUAUUAUUUCACUAUAUACAUGCAUGCCAGUAGUCUUUUGUAAUACCAUAUAUAUGUAGAAUAUUAUUAGAAAUCGUAGCAAUUAAGCUACUAGCUAGGGUUUCUCAUUCGUAUUGUGAAGGCCAAAGGAAGGCUCCCAUGGCAAACUUCCUCUUCUGGUUGACAUCCCCAAUGAGUGGGAGGCCGUACUGCUUCAUAAGGCAGUCCAGUUUCCAUUCAGGCAUGCUCUCAUAGUCACUCUUCUGGUACCUUGGGUAGUGCAGAGGCAUCUGGAAGUUGCAUGGGGUGUUGUUCUUGCUAGUUUGCUCAUUUACUUGGAGACCGCCGGGCAUGGUGAAAGCGUGGUUGCUAAAGCCAGUUCCAGUGGUACUCAUCUUCUCAAAUAUGUUGAGAAAGCUGGUAACUCAUGCAGAGUUGCUAACUUGGUAGUUGGUGUUGCAAAGUUGGCCUUUUAUAGGCAUCCCAAAGAGCAUGAUAGUGGAAGAUUACUCGAGUAUGCGCUUGAAGAUAAGACAGAGCAAUCAAGAAAACAUUUAAUGCGAUGAAAGCUAAAUCACAUUGAAGAAUGUGUGGUGACAAACUUUUGAGUGUUACACAUUCAUACUAUCAUGUGGUGUUAGCGAAAUACGUAUUAAUAUAUAUAUAUAUAUAUAUAUAUAUAUAUAUAUAUAAUACGUGUUUCAUAUUUAUAAAUCAUAGAUAAAAAUUCAUAUUUUAUGACUCAUGAAAAUAGUAUUAACAAAUAAUAUAUGUUAUACAAUAUAAGUAAAUUAAAUCAUGUGACAAUAUUGUAACCCCCACAUCAAAAAGAUUACUGAGCCAUCUUUUGGUAGAUUUUCAUGACGAAGGUAAACUUGGAUAAAUUUGGAUUCUAGGCCUCGUUUGAUAUUUAGGAUUGGGUUAGUUUGGACAAUCCAUUUCAAUGAAAGUUGAACAAAAAUAGGGAUGCCAACUUGCAUAUUUUGUUAAAUGAAGGUAGAAGAUGGAGAAAUCAUGAAGAAAACUUAUCCCUCAAAAUCCCCACAAAAAUGGUAGAAUUGAGAGGGCCAAAUUUGCUUCAUGACUUUUCUAUCUUCGACCUAGAGUAGACGGACGUUGGUUAGGUUUGAGAAGAUGAGUUUUUGGAAGAAAAUAUUUUAGGGAUAAAUUUGGGAUUUUCUGGAUCAAAUAUUUUAGUUUGGUGUAUUAAUUUAUUUAAAAAUUGGGUGCCAAUAGAGGCACCUGAAAAUUAUAGUUAGCAAAUAAAUUAUUGGACCAAAAUACUUUAUGGAACCGUUGAAUACAUGGUAAUAUUGUCAUUUGCCAAGGUGGAAGGAAUUAGUUGUGAUGUAUCUAGUGUUCCAAUAAAAUUGAUAUUGAGGAGGGAGUAAUUGUUGGAAUCAAAUUUGUGCACUAUCAUGGAUGGCGGAGGCACAAAUUAGAGUAACAUUUAAAACAGAAAAAACCGUGAGCAAGUCUAAGAUAGGGUGAGUUGUGUGUGCCAGCCAAAGGAUCUCUAACGAUCAGGUUAGUAAGCAAGUAUAAGACUAAAGCAACGGGUAAGAGAAUUAGAGAGCGAUGAUUGUGCUACCAGAGAUGAACCCUGUGUGUAUUUAUAUCAGUCGAGAAAGAGACAUUUUUAUGAUAGAAUCUUUGUGCUAAGUUGAGAGAAUCUUAGAGGAUAUCUAGAAGUAAAUAUUGUCAUCCUCUUAGAAUGUGAUUACUUGUGGCGCACGCCAAUUCCUAGAUUGUAGGAACUGUAAUACAUAUAGAGAAUAUGGUUGAUUCUGUGCUGGAUCAUAUCCUCUUAUCUUGAGGAACAAGCAUGGUCAUUCUCAACGAAGUUGCUGAAACUUCACUCACUGCUCUGGAAUAGGAUGAUGGUGGUACCACUGCUUCGUUUGAUUUAGCUCCGCUCGGAGCUGUUGAGUGCAUGAUCAGACUCCUGAGGUAAUUGUAUUCUAAUUAGCCUUAUUCGGCCCUGGAAAAUUAUAUAGUCCAACGGUAAUUAUAAAAAAAAAUAAAUAAAAAAAAAACCUCAAGAAUAAGAGCAAGCAGAUGAUCUCAAUCACUUGAGUAAUUGGCCCUUGCUGAAAUGUAUGUAGUUGUAAUACCAAGAUGCUAAUAAUGCCAAAAUAUCCUGAUAAUGCUACUAAAUGCCAACAAAAUGCUUUUCCGAACAAUUCUGAUAUAUUUUCUUCCCUGAUAUCAUAGCAACUUGAUCAAUGUCCCUCUUUCAAUAAAUCCCUGGCCUUGGCCAGUUGUUCCUCUAUGCCAAAAUUGGAAUAAGUCCUCACAACUAUUCAAUGAUCAAGUGCAAAUGUUGAGCAUAUGUCGCCCAAUGAUGAGGAUGCCAAAGCUCCAGUCCAUUUUUAAUGACAUAUAAUUGUUAUAGCUAGUUAUACUUAUGCAUCACUUGAUGAAUUCAGAUAAACAACAGCCAAUCAAUCUCACUCAAAUCGUUAAUUUGUCUAUCGGAAAAUCAAUGAAGCGCAACAACAUUGCAUUGCAUUGCAGCCAGAAGAAUCGAUCUGCCAUCUUUUUCUCAACCCUAGCAAUUUGAAUCGAUCUGAGUGGAUAAACUGUGUGCGUGCUCCCGGACGCAAGAAAAUGAUCUAUAAUCUAUGAUCUAUCCUUGUCUCUAGCAAACCGAAUCGAUUAAGGCAAAGGGACCCGAAACACAAGUGGGCUUAACUAGUUAUAAGAAAGUCAAAGUAUUUGGAUGUUCACAACGAUCACCAGAUCAUGAAAAGACAUAUUUCAUGCUCAUUAGGGCAGCUGGAGCAUUCUAGUUCUACGAGUGAAAUGAUACAAGGUUAUUAUUGAUCCACAUCAAUCUCAGGUUGUGGAGUUGAAACGUCAUGCAUGCAUGGUGGGCAUGGGAUUGCAGGAAGGUGACUGACUGGAUAAAAAUGAAAUAGAAGGGUACUGAUUAUUUUCUGUGUCCGAAUUUGUGUGCCGUGGAUGAGAGGUCAUGUGUUAUUUUCAUAUUUAUUGAGAAAACCUAAUGUGAAGAAACUUCAUGCCAAACCCACUUCACCUAAGAUGGCAUCUAAUAGGAUUUUCACCAUCUGCAUACUCAGGGUUAAAUCCCAUAGAGUACUUGCAAGAGAAUAAAGUUAUUGUAGUAUAACGGCUCAAGCAAAGACGAUCUUCAUAGAAACUGAGAUGAAUAUUUUGUGUUUAAGUACAAUUCUUAUUUAACUAUUUAAUACAAGAUUAAGAAAGAUGAGAAUAUUGAAUAAAAGUAACAAGUGCAAAUAAAGAGAAAUAUUACAAGCUAAAAAUAAUAAUUGUAAAAAUAGCAAUCCAAAAAGUUUAAUAAGCAUUAGGGUUCAGCCGUCACCAGUAAAAAUCCUAUGUAGUUCUAUUAAUUACUUUUGCGUCAACACAUGCAAACUUUCAGCUUAGGUUUUCCUUAUGCAUAUUCCACUCGUGACAUUCAAGUUAGAACGUAUAUCCAAUAUGCAAUGCGUAAUUUGACAUUCACAUAAAAAAUCAACAUGCAAGACUCGUUAAAUUUUGUGAGAGCCUUAUAAAAAACCAGGGUAACCUUAAGAGCAUGACACUCACGUGAACAUACAAUUUCCAACCACAAGAAGCAUUAACCAAUUUCAGGCUGACAUUCCAAUAGGAAUUGCAUCCGAUUACUUGUCUAAACAUCUUAAUAGCGAUAAAGUGUUAAGACAUAAAGAUAGUUUAAAACAGUGAUUGAAAAUUCAAAGUAAGCAUAUAUAACAAUAUAAGUAAGUUAAAAAGAAACUAUAUAUUCAUGUUAAAACUCGUAACCUCGCCCAAGCAAAAGAGUUAAUUAGAAAUAAAACAUAAUGGAAUAUCAAAAGUUUUCUUGUGUUGGGAUCAAUAUUCUAACAAAUGCAAGGCACUAGUCGAGCGAUGGGUUGGGGCUAGGCGGGAGCCUAGGCGGAUUUGAAUAAUUUAUUAUAUAUUAUAUAAACUAAUUAAAUUUGAACAUUAAAUAAUAUGUUAUUUUUCAAAAAGGUGAGAGUUUUAGCCUUUUAGGUACAUAAUAAAAAUAUAUGUGGUGUGAUCUUAAAUAGGGUAAUAAAACCCCAUAAAAACAAACAUAAAAAAGUGACAUUUAAGAGAGAAAAAAAUAGUAAAAAAAGAUGGUGGGACCAUCUUAAGAAAAAUCAUGCAAUUAAAAAUUUUAAAUGAUGUUGGGAAUAGGGUUGUCUCCUUCCUUGCACGAGGUUGACUCUGCAACAAAAGAUUUCCAAAUUCCGACGCUUACAUAUAAUCCCGCCUAGCUUCCGCCCAUCCCAGCCUAGACUUGCCUAACUCCACUUUAUCCGGCCUGGGCGUCCGCCCAAUGUGCUUUCCGAUUUUGUGGCUGAUCAUGAGUUAAAUCGCGGCAGCCUACUUGAUCUAGCACCUAGGCAGCCGCCUAGGCUAAUUUUUUGAACACUAGGUGGGAUCUUAGUUUAGUUCGUUGAAUUCUGGUAAAGCGGACACUCUCCAAACUACAAGCACUGGGUAGAGACAAGAUUCUAUAUUUCAAGGAUAUUGCGAUACACAAGUCUCGAACUUUAUUCCAUUUGUUUAAUUUCAGUUUGUUUUAUUCAAAUUGUAUCCAUGUAUAUAGUUGUAAUUUAUUGUUCAUUAGCAUAUAAUUUUGGGUACAUAUAUUUCAAAUUUAUUUCUGCAAUAUAUUAAAUUUGUGAUUGAUUGUUGAUACUUAUCUAACAUCUUGAACACGUGCUUCAUAAUGAUCAUCUCGGUUGAGGUAUAUUUGCAACCAACAAGUAAUUGUGUACACAAAGAUGGUUUUCAUCCAAUAAAAUUGGGAUUCAAGUCAAAUUUUUAAGUUGUGCUCAUAGUUACCGCAGUUUCGGUCACUUUUGGGGGACAAUAUUCUCGACGUUAGGAGGAGAAAUGAUAGUUUUCAAAGAACGCCGAGAAUUAGCGUUGAUACAUGUGCAUUUGUCUCAUCCAAACUAUAUAUGAGUUAGAAGGGACUAUGAUGAUUAAUCUAUUGCAUGCCUAAAGCAUGACAGAUAUAUAAGUUCUAAACUUUGAACUCUCUGUAAGUGGAGAUUAAUUAAGUUCAAGUCCUAAUUGAAAAUAACUCUCCGUAGGAGGGCAUAUCCAAGUAAUUCAUCUUAAGAUAUUUGUCCUAGAUGUAACAAUGGAAGCCCCAAAGAGUCAUUGUACCCAAGCAAUGGAAUACUUAUAUAUUAAGCAUGCCAAUGAGAAUUGUUAGGUCACAAAUUGAUGAUAAUCAAUAAUUAUUAUAAUAGCUAAUCAUAUCAUGAAGGACUAUUUAGUCACGUUUUCCCAAAAAUAUCGACAAAGUAAAGGGUGGCCAAAACUAGAAAGAGAUAAUUCCAUUUUGAGCCACUGAAAAACGUGAAAUCAAUGAACCUAUAAUUUAAACCCCAAAUUUAUUCUUGCGUGUGUGUAAUAAAAAUAAAUAAGCCCACUAAUAUGGCAUAAGACUUUGUAAUAUAUUUCAUUAUAGAUGCAAUCACAUUUCUAGAAGUACAGUGUUAAUUUAGACGUGAGACUUAUCACUUUGUGGAGAUUGCAUACUAACCAUUUGAGAUUUUAUCUCUCAAAGUAAUUCUUACAGUAUGAAAAUGCCAUGAAAUUCUUUAUCAAAGUUCUCAAAUGAAGUUCCUAAAUUUAUUUGAUUACAUUAAUGCAAGACUACAGUUAAAAAUUUAUAAUGUAUUGUUGAAUACUUUAGAAAUUGUAGUAAAGCUAGUGUUUCUGCUACUCUCAUUCAUGCUGGGAAGGCCAAAGGAAGGCCCCCAUGGCAAACUUCCUCUUCUGGCUGACACCUCCAAUGACUAGGAGACCGUACUGCAUCAAAAAAUAGUCCAGUUUCCACUCAAGCAUGCUCUCAGAGUCUCUCUUCUAGUAUCUUGGGUAGUGUAGAG